rnacentral:lncRNA from 1 species
AAGAAUCUCAGGGACUUCUUGGUAAAUCAAAUUGUUUAAGUAUUAGGAUUUCUGUGGUUGAUGUGAUGGCAAGACUGUAUCGGUUUAGAUAUCGCAGUUUGGUGAUGCAGAUGAGGUGUUUGUUCAUAGGUUACAAUGAAAAUUCAGAAGUGACUCGGCGCGGAAAGCAACUACCAGCUGAAAAUUAAGAAAAUGUACAAGGUUUGGAUGAGUAAGAGAAGUGCUCCAAAAAAGUAUUAGUUUUUUUAAGAUUGAUGUUUUUUGUUUUAUUUUCAUCUUAUGACCAUUUUUUUGAGUAAACACUGUUGUGGGCAAAAUUUCUUUCGUAGAUUAAAAAGUAUGAUGUGGAGACUGGAGCCUGAGACCCCACCCAAAAUUUUCUUAAGCCAGAAACGUUAAGUUAUUAUUUAUGUAUUUCAUAUGCUUCUAGCCAUAAUUUUAUUUUUUAACAAUUGAAUUUAGUCAUACAAAUUGACUGUGCUUAAUAUGAUAUAACUUCCUAUAAACUGUAAAUAUAAAUUUUAUUAAAAUUUUAAAAAUUUAUUUUUAUUAUCUACCCGCUGUAUCGCGCGGGUCUCUACACUAGUUAGAGAAUGACUUUUGUAUUAUUUAACAUGAUGUGUAUCAAAGUAAAGUCUCAAGCCCCGAAGAAAAGUAUUAAUAUCAGCAUAUAAAAAUAUUAAUUAUUUUCUAUCAGCUUAAUUUUUUAAAGAAUAACGACACUUUUCUUUAUGUAAGAAGACUAUAAUUCUAUUUCUUCGGAGGCUAAUCGGCGUCAAAAUGGUAUGAAGAAAGAUUGUGGCAAUGUGGGGUAGUCUCAUGCUCCAUCAAUCGACAGAAAAAAAAGAAAAAAAGAAGACUUAAGGCGUAUGCACGUCAAAGUGAAAAUCUUUGCACUAUGAUCUCCUUUUCUAGAAGGGCACAUCUCUAUCCAUGCUUGAGGCCGUUCUUUUUCAUUGUUUACGGAUUAAUCGUUGUUAAAGUAAUGUAAAAUAAAUUUUAUUCUUUAAAAAACUUAAGUUUUUAGAAAAUGGUGUAUUUAAUAUUUGUAUUCAACAAUAGUCAAGGAAAAGAUUAUAUUUGAUUUUUCUGUUGAGCUAUUUCGUAGUGUUAAACUGCCACGUAUCUAUACAAUAAUAUUAAAGAGUUAAAUCCUAGCGACACGGUAUUUUUUUCUUAUUUCAUGGUUGAGUGACACCUAAGCUCACUCCAAUUUUUCUUCUCUCUCUUAGCCCCUUCUUCCUCUCUUAAUUCGCUCCCUCACUUAUUCACUAUGGGUGUAUAAAUAGAACUGCUCUAUUCCAUUUAUAAAGGGUAAAGACUCUAUCGACUCUUUAUUAAUUUGAAAUUAAUACUUCAAUUUAACUUUUUGAUAACAAUGUAUGGAACCCCCUCAAUUAUGGACCAUUGAAAUUGGUUCCUCAAUUUUAACUUUUUUUAUUAAUAUCCUUUUGGCUUUUCUUAUUUUUCUAUUUUAGUUUUUUAACUUAGUUAGAUUGAAAAUUCUAUCAAAGUUAAUAACUCUACUAGUUAUUAAUUGUUAAUUGGCAAAUUUUCAUUUACUAAUUAAAAACGGAUUGAAAUUAUUAAAAAUUUGAUGAAAUUAUCAAUUAAUUUGAUAAAAUCUCUAAUUUUUUGACUAAAAUCAUUCCAUUCAAAAAUAUUAGAAGUGGUUUGAAUUUUAAAAUUUAACAAAGUGGCAGUUGUUUUGGUAUGAUUUUUUGCCUCAAGUAUUAUUAAGUGUAUAAGAUAUUUCAAUUUAAGCAAGUGUAGUUAUUAUUAACGCUUAAUAAUUACUGAUGUAUGCUUAAGACAAAUUUGUCUAUCCGUCGUGAAGUGCGAGCGCUUAACUAGUGUAGAGCGAAAGGAAUCCCAAAAAAGAGCAUUUGCAAACAUUUUUCCACUUUACUUUUGCAAAUAAGGGUGGUGUGUGCUAGCCUUUUGAAUCCUUGAUUCUAGGGUCCACUGGAAAAUUAUUUUUCAUUUCAUAACUAACUACAUGAUAUCUUUCUAUUCUUUGAUACCAACCACUUAAUGACAACUAAUUUUGCAUGAAUUUCUACAAUUCAUGCAAACCCAUUCGAAAACAAUCAGCACUGUUCACUAUUGAUGAAAAUUCUUAAAAUUUUAAAAAUUUGGGUUUGCAAGUGAUUUACAUUAUUGCAUAUUAAUUAUAGAUUGUGAGCAUAACUACUGCUUUAUCUUCCAAAAUAAUUAAUGCAACAAAACUGUGGUUGGAAUAUACAAAUUGAUGAUCUACUUCACCAAAUAGUCUUUUUUUUUUUUUUUUUUUUUUUGAGAGAGAUAGGUAGCACGCUGCUACCUGCUUCGUUUAUUUCAUUUAGAAAUAAACUUAGCUGAAUAUGUGAAUCAACUAGGAUUCGAACUUGCAUCUCGGGUACCAACCACCAAGCCCUUUGCCACUUGCGCUAGGGACGGUCGGUUACUUCACCAAAUAGUCAACAUUCACAUAUUGAUAAAUGUUGAUCUUUUAACAAAUCUCUACUACUGGAACAAUUUAUAGGUUCAGAUCACAUGGGUGAACCUAUAAGUGACCUUUUUGGUCCUCAAUGGGCCAUGAAAACUAUUGUUGUGGUAAUGGACCCGGUCUACAACUAUUAAGCUUUGGGCCUAUAGCCUCACCAAAGCUAGGCUUGAAGCCUAAUCCGGCCCAAUAGACUCGGUGUAGACCGGGCCAAGUGUUGGGCUUGGGCCUACUUUAGUGUUCGAGUAGAAAUCAUUGCAUGGACUCAGUUCACUAGGCGAUUCGUGGACCGUAGAGCUAUUUAUGCCCCGCGAGGAAAACUGUCAAAUGGUUCAUGAUGACGUGGUGGACCAUCUCCAGGCUCUUAUAAGCUACAGUAUUUCCGCUAGGGCAGGGUGAGAUUCACCUGCAAGCAAAUCUCUUCCGUUCAUUAUCAUUAAUGAACAGCAGAGAUUGAGCACUGGACAAUCAAACGGUGGAUAUCACGCGACCGCAUGCGAAACCAUCCGCACAAUAGUUCGAUCCCCAAUAUGCUUCGAUUAUACUGUUGCUCCCGCGACUGGGUUUUAUCGAUCCGCGACCGAGUUUGCGUCUUUGGGGUCUCUCCUGCUCAACCGAACGCCUCUCCUUCGUUGGUUUCUUCCUCCCCAAAUCGAAACCCUCGUUCGAAUUGCGCGAAUCCCGAAGAAUCCGCUCUUCUUCUCCUUCUUCUCCUUCUUCUCCCUCCAUGAUCGAGCACCAUUGACGAUAGGGCAAAGCUAAGCUAUCGCCAUCGUCGUCGUGUCGAACCCUAAUCGCGAACUCAUGGCGCAAUCGGAGAAGCUUUACCCCGUGAUCGAAGAUUGCGAUGUACGGGCGCCGGAGAAGGAUCCAUCCGAUCCCUUGGAUGCGGCGGAUCCUAGAGCUUCUUCUAUUCCCGAUGACGAAGGGGACGAGGUGACGUAUUACCUUUCUCUUGGCUCUAAUUCCGAUUCAUUUGCCUAAAUUUCUAGUUGAUUUCGUGGAAUUGGGGUUGUGAGUAGAUUUCCUUGGGUAGCUUUUGAUUCCCCUUGAUAUCUGUUGUUAAAUAGAAGCGAUGCUUAUGUCAAUUCUCAAAGCAUAAAAACUGUGUUCUGUUGAUUGUGCCCGUGCAAAUUCUCAAAGCGUAUAAAUUUAGUGUUUUGAUGUUUAAGAAAAUUCACAGAUUUGUGUAGUGAUCGAGUUGACUUAUAAGUUCGAUGACCCUUUUAUGUUUAUGAUUUCUAUUGGGAGCAUGUUAUGAUGCUACUCUGUUUAUAGAAUUCCCACAGAUGCGGCAAUUCUAACUGCUGAGCACUGGAAAAAAUUUAGUGAUUUGAAGUACAUAUUCAGUUCACAUGUUGUUCCCGAAAUUAGUGGUUUGUAUGGGAGUGGAUUGCAGAAACAAUAGCUCUGUACCGAAAUUAAGUGUCCUUUGCCCACUUUACUUUCUUUUCUCAUUGCUAAGCCAUUCUUUUCAUUUCCUACUUAAGCAUGAUAGGCAUGGAUGUAGUUAAAAUGAGAAAAUCACGGUAGUUUCUAUAACCUGAGUUUACUUAAGUUGUAGUUUUUUUGGGCAGUUGUUGAUUUGCUUCUACUGCAGGUAAAACAGUUUUAAUAUCUCUGACUAUGACCUUACUUUUCUAGGUUCCUAGAAUAACAGAGGAGAAAACCAACAACAUUCCUUUGAUAAAUGAUACAUCAUGUGAUUCAGAGACGGCCGAAGGCCAAGCUUCUAAUUCGAAGUCAGAUACAGCUCAUGAGAUUGUAAAGGGAAAGCCAGGGAAAUACUUCUACUACGACUCCCCACUUUAUGAAGAAACCGGCUUUUGGAUACCUGUCUCUGUCCCACCAAUGACUGAAAGGGAUCAUGAGGAGUGGCAUAGGGGCUUUGGUUCUAAUGGUGGAUACUUUCCUGAUGAGGAAAUCAGAUGGGACCAAUUUUUCGCUGAAGACAAGGAAAUGACAAUGUGGGACGUGGUUUCUGAAAUAAUUCUUACGGCAAGAGGCAAAGUAAGGGCUCUCACUUCUGGUGAUUUCGCAAAUUGUGGGAUAUCGUGGGUUUCCACCCAACUUCUUUCAGAAGCUUGGAAGGAAAUGGCCCAGACACUGUCAGAAGCCAAUUUCGGUAAUGCAAAGGAGAUCCUCGACACAGAGCCAACAAAGUGGUUGCCCGACAGUGUGUCAACUUCUUGCAUGCUUUGUAAUGUCCGCUUUCAUCCCAUAAUGUGCUCUAGGCAUCAUUGCCGGUUUUGUGGUGGGCUAUUUUGCAGCGAGUGUUCAAAAGGCCGGAGCUUGCUGCCUCCAAAAUUUAGAACUAACGAGCCUCAGCGGGUGUGUGAUGUAUGCUGUGUGCGACUAGAGGGGGUGCAGGCUUAUCUUAUGGAUCAGGUUAGUCGUGCAUCGCAACUGCCCACUCAUGAUCUGACUGACCUCAGCACCUUAAGAUCAUGGAUGAACUUCCCUUGGGGACGGACGAUGGAGUACGAGAUAUACAAAGCAGCAAACACAAUUCGUGGUUAUUGUAAGGUAAACCUUAUAUUCUUAUGUAAUGUCUUAGUUGAUUGAAUCAUGGACCGACCUUAUUCUGCAGAACAUCUUUUUACCACACUACUUGUUAGUUACCCUCAAAAUAUGAAGUAUUUGCGAGAAAAUGUUCUUACUUUGGCUUCUCAAUUUCAUAACAGUUUAUUUACUUGUGUCUUCUCAUGACCAAAAAAUGCUAGAUUUAGACGUCUCUAGUUCUUUGGGUCGAUGCAUUUCUAUGCAAUCUAUAACUUAGAGGUAAAAAUGGUAAUGAAGGUGGUGUCCUGGAAUGAGUUUAUUGUGCUACUAAUUUCUGUUGCGUUGGACGAUUGCCUAUUCCUUGGUAAGGAUUUGGAAUCUUGCUGAGGAUUGCUACCGUAGAGAUAGUCUUCGUGCCUCUUGAAUUUUCAAUUAUAUUCGUCAUUCAUAAUGGUUAUUUGUAAAAUUUCUUUACUGUCAAUGAAAAGAUUGGAUGACUAUGAUGAGGUUUUUGCCUGCUAUAAUUUCUACGGACAGUAGAGUGAUCUUAAAAGAAUUAAAAUUGAGUUUGUUAUAUUUAAUGGAACACAUGCUUAACAUUAUUCAGGUGGGCUUGUUGAAACCGGAGAAAUCCAUCCCUGAUUCCAUUCUCAAACAAGCGAAAGGCCUUGCAAUACUUACUGUUGUGAAGGUUGGGAUGAUGGUAACAUACAAAAUCGGGACUGGGCUGGUUGUUGCUCGUAGGGAGGACGGUUCCUGGUCUGCACCCUCUGCCAUUUCUACUUUUGGCCUUGGAUGGGGAGCUCAGGUUAACUACAUUCACCGAAUUGUAUUUUCAUGAAUAUAGGGUAGUAAUAUAUGACAUAUUUGUGCUAAUUGUUUUACUAGGCUGGAGGGGAGUUGACCGACUUCAUAAUUGUGCUGAGGAACAAAGAUGCCAUCAAAACCUUCAGUGGAGAUGCACAUUUGUCGUUUGGGGCUGGUGUUAGUGCUGCUGCUGGUAUUGUUGGACGAACAGCUGAGGCUGAUCUCCGUGCAGGUGACGGUGGUUAUGCCGCAUGCUACACUUACAGUUGCAGCAAAGGUGUGCUUUGAUUUACUACUCCUAUAACGUAUGCGAUCAGAUGUUCAUCAUAGAGACUUUUGGGGAAAAUCAUAAUUUGUUCGUUUCUCUUAUGCUGAUAUCUGGCCGGGCUGCAACUUCCAUUAAAAUUAUUUCAAUCGAAAUCACAUAAGAGAUAUAUAUGGUCAACUAAAAAUUUUAACUGUAGUAUUUAAUAAGGGAAGUAUUUGGCUACCAGAUGAGUUACUUCAGAAUCAGGGGAUGCGGGCGCGUGUGAUUUUGCUACCUUUUCUUUUUAGGUUAAACAUAUCCUAAACAAAGAGAAUAUUCAGUUAUUCAAUAGCGUUUUAUGUUUGGCUUGGGUAGGAAGUGGUGUGCUGGAAAAAGAAGAUACAAAAGAAAAGAUUAUAGAAUUUGUAUUCCUGCUUCUCAUUUAUUUUCCUCUCUCUCUCUCUCUCUCUCUCUCUCUCUCUCUCUCUCAUCUAGCUGCUUUUGAUUGCAGGUGCAUUUGUAGGUUGUGCUCUUAAUGGAAGCGUAGUUACAACCCGGUCUUCAGAAAAUUCCCGCUUCUAUGGUGCUCCAAUGAAGGCAUUGGACAUUCUUCUCGGCUCUACACCGAAGCCUCCUGCAGCCACUAUUCUCUAUCGCGCCCUAUCAGACCUGUUCGAAAAGCUGGAGAAGUAAUCAUCCUUGAUUUAGAAUUCGUCGCCGUGCGUGUGUCAUAGUCUUCGAACCGGCAUGAUUUGUUUCGGAUCGAGCUGUUUAUCUUUGGCUUGAUUACCGCUUAUAAUUAAGCAAUUGUACGGCUCUAAAGACUGCUAUUAAAAGGUCAUUCAUUGGUGCAUAUACAGGUUUAUGAACAUGAUUCUUCUGGAUCUAGUGUACAUAAAAUAAUGAUAAAACUCUCUGUAAAUAAUAGGGCAAAUAUGUUCUAUUCAGUUAUUCUUAAUUUAGUGGUGCAUUUAUUAUCACUUCGGAGUUCUCUGAGCCUGUGUAUAAUUCUUGUGAGAUGCACUCUUUUACUAAUUGAUGAUGAUGAUGAUGAUGAUAAUGAUGAUGAGUAAGAUAAUUUGUCACAUAUAUUAGUAAUACAUAUUUCGUGGCACUUACACGGGAUACAGGAAACACUACUCUCACAUAUGAAAGUAUAAAUAUCAAUUGUACAUAAGUAUAAAUAAAAGUUACGUGACCAUAACAUUCCCAUACCCAACUUUGACCUUGCGAGACAUUAAUUCGUCCUGAUUAGGUGGGGGCUCGUGGAUUUCGUGUUGGACCGGAUCUUGGACUCUGCUCAUGUUCUAUUAAAAGACUAUUUCUAAGAAUAACAAAAUGCACACACAUUGUGCGGAAAAAGAGUUUGGCAAGUUGAGCGCAGAAAACUUAUCUCUUCUCUUCAUCUCCACGCAGCUCACGUUACUUCCCUGGGAAUUUAGGGCCCGUUUGGUUCGAGUUAUGUAAUAUUACAAAGUAUCUCGACAUAUCCAGGUAUGUUGGAUUUCGGCGUGAGAUUACUACUAAUGCUGUAUUAGAGCGUUUGGUUUAAUACAGUAAUGUAAUACUAGAUUACAGUGUUUAUAGCAUUAAUAUAUUUGGUUCAGUUUAUAAGAUUUAGUAAUCAUAACAUAAAAGUAUAGUUUUUUCCAAAAUUGUCCAUUUGUAGUCAUUUGAAUAUUGUUUUUUGCGGAAAUGACGAAUGGAGGGAAGGAGAUCGUGAUAAUUACUUGGGAGGACGACGCAAUAGAAGAUGAUAGGUGUUCGUGCGAGAGAGAGAGAGAGAGAGAGACGUCGAGAGAGAGCGAGAGAAAGCGGCGUGCGAGAGAGAGGGCCGGGACGAAGGCGAGAGAGAGAUGAAAAUAAUACUGUUAAUUAGAUUUGGAAUUUUUGGAGGGUAAAAUUGUCAUUUUACAUAAUAUGUAGUAUUAACGGGUUUCAGUAAUGCAAGAUACACGACCCCCCUCCCGUUAAUAUUUUUGAUGUAAUCCUGCUCGAUUUGUAAUGCUAUAUUAACGACUAGAUUACAUAGUGGAUUAACCAAACACAGUUAUCCUGGCAGGAUUGCCUGUAAUCCUGUCAGGAUAACUCGAACCAAACGCACCCUUAAGGCUAAAGGAUAUAACAAAAUAAUAAUAUAUAAUAUUAUAUUCUUUUUUCCUAUUAAAAAAAAAUAAAGCAUGCAGGGAAAGUGUACAAGAAAUUCCGCAGCACCUUUGAUCUGGAUGAUUCAUUCAUUCCUAGCACCAAAAGACAGAGAGAUUGGCUUUACUUCGCUCUCUCAGCUGGUGUGAACUAAGCUUUGCUCAUGAAGAGAAAUUAUUGGCUGGACCGUGUCCGUCACCUCCGCUCGUGGACCGCCAAUGUCAUCUAUCAUAUAUCCUUCUCUUUAGAUGAAAGGCAGAUGGUUGGGCGGUCCACAGCUGACGUGGUGAUCUGUGACCAUGCUGGAAUUUCUUUCUGCGGUGUGAAACAGUGAGAGAGGCUGAGAGGGUGAGCAAAAAUUCAAGAGCCGUGUGGAAGGAAGGGAUAUUUUGUGUUGACGUUCAGGGCACACAUUAUGCUGUUGACAAAAGAGAAGCAUGUUUCACCUUCUUUAAUGCUGCGGUGAACUUCUCAGUUCAGAAUUCAGAUCCUAUCACUCUUUGGUUCUGACACUAAUAAUAACAGUACUGUUUCUAUAUUUAUUAUUUUUCGGUAUUAUUCAUAUUUUUAUUCAACGGUUCAGAUUUAAUUUUUUAAAAAUUUAAUAUGUAAUAACAUGUCAUUUUGAGAAAGGUACGAGUUACUAGAUACCCCAAAAAAAAGUAUUUGGUUCUUUUAUCAAACUCUAUUCUCUCUUUGUUUCAUUUUUCUCUCUCGGUCUUUCCUCUUCAUCCAUAAUAAAGAUGUAAAGGGGUAGGAUUCGGGGCGAAUUUCAAAAACCCGAACCCGAAUCCAAAUCCAACGAAUUUUAAAAAAUCAUAUCCAUACCCGUACCUAACUAAAAAUGCGAAACCCGAAUCCUAGCCCGAACCUAAAAUAUUUAUUUCUCUUUACAAUAUUUUAAAAUAUAUUAAAUUAAAUCUAAAGUUUAAAAAUACAUAUUCAAAUAUAACAUCAAAUAUUUAUAUAUAUAUUAUAUAUAACGUAAAAUAAAUUCGGAUUCCGGUUGGUUUCAAAUUCUGAUCAGAUACAAUCAAAAUACAUAUCCAAAUUCAAAUCCGUCUGGUUUUCGUUUCUGACAUUCAUAUUCAAAACUAUAUCCGUUUAGUACAGAUAAAUCGACUGCGUUUGCUUUUGAAUUUGAAUUUAGAUUCAAAUAAAAUUAUAGAUGUCCGUACCCAUUGACAUUCGUAAUCCACAGAUAUUUUAUCAUUUCAUAUCCGUAAUCUACAGAUAUUUUAUUAAAAAAUAUUACAACAUUGAAUUUAAAUUUUUUUUACCUAUAUUUAAAUUUUUAAAAAAAUUUGUGGUAAAAAAUUAAUAUAUAAAUUAGAAAAAUUUAGAAGUUUCUUAAACAAAUUAAAUAUAUUGAAUUCGUUAUUAUCAACAUUAAAUUUGUUAAAAUAGUAACACAAAAUUUCUCUUAUUUAAAUUUAAAUAUUAAAUAUUUAAAUUCAACAUAUUUAGAAAUAUUACUAUUUUUACGAUUCCUAAAAUUUAAAUUAAUGCCUAAAUUAGAAGAAUUCUAAAAUUUCUAAAAUUAAUGCCUAAAAUUUGGGAUAUCAAUUAAAUUUUAAACUAAUGGUUAAAUUCGUGCAAAAUUAAUGCUAAAUUUGGGAUAUUAAUCAAAACUUUCUUAAAACUUUGCCUAGUAUAAUUACAAAAAUACCCUCAUAUGAAAUAACCUUUUAACCUGCUACAUAAUUAUAUAACAUUUUUAACCUUCAUUAAUCAACGGUUAAGAUUUUUUUUUAUAUAAAAUAAAGUACCAAAUCAUUUCUCUAAUAAUAAAACACAACUAGUGGUCCAAAUUUUGUAGAAGUCUACAAGUUAAACCCGCCUAUUUGAUAAAGUUGUAAGNGAGAGAGAGAGAGACGUCGAGAGAGAGCGAGAGAAAGCGGCGUGCGAGAGAGAGGGCCGGGACGAAGGCGAGAGAGAGAUGAAAAUAAUACUGUUAAUUAGAUUUGGAAUUUUUGGAGGGUAAAAUUGUCAUUUUACAUAAUAUGUAGUAUUAACGGGUUUCAGUAAUGCAAGAUACACGACCCCCCUCCCGUUAAUAUUUUUGAUGUAAUCCUGCUCGAUUUGUAAUGCUAUAUUAACGACUAGAUUACAUAGUGGAUUAACCAAACACAGUUAUCCUGGCAGGAUUGCCUGUAAUCCUGUCAGGAUAACUCGAACCAAACGCACCCUUAAGGCUAAAGGAUAUAACAAAAUAAUAAUAUAUAAUAUUAUAUUCUUUUUUCCUAUUAAAAAAAAAUAAAGCAUGCAGGGAAAGUGUACAAGAAAUUCCGCAGCACCUUUGAUCUGGAUGAUUCAUUCAUUCCUAGCACCAAAAGAAACAGAGAUUGGCUUUACUUCGCUCUCUCAGCUGGUGUGGACUAAGCUUUGCUCAUGAAGAGAAAUUAUUGGCUGGACCGUGUCCGUCACCUCCGCUCGUGGACCGCCAAUGUCAUCUAUCAUAUAUCCUUCUCUUUAGAUGAAAGGCAGAUGGUUGGGCGGUCCACAGCUGACGUGGUGAUCUGUGACCAUGCAGGAAUUUCUUGCUGCCGUGUGAAACAGUGAGAGAGGUUGAGAGGGUGAGCAAAAAUUCAAGAGCCGUGUGCAAGGAAGGGAUAUUUUGUGUUGACGUUCAGGGCACACAUUAUGCUGUUGACAAAAGAGAAGCAUGUUUCACCUUCUUUAAUGCUGCGGUGAACUUCUCAGUUCACAUCCUAUCACUCUUUGGUUCUGACACUAAUAAUAACAGUACUGUUUCUGUAUUUAUCAUUUUUCUGUAUUAUUCAUAUUUUUAUUCAACAGUUGAGAUUUACUUUUUUUUUUUUUUAAUUAUGACCUGUAAUAACAUGUCAUUUUGAGAAAGAUACGAGUUACUAGAUACCCCAAAAAAAAGUAUUUGGUUCUUUUAUCAAACUCUAUUCUCUCUUUGUUUCAUUUUUCUCUCUCGGUGUUUCCUCUUCAUCCACAAUAAAGAUGUAAAAGGGUAGGAUUCGGGGCGGAUUUCAAAAACCCGAACCCGAAUCCAAAUCUAACGAAUUUUAAAAAGUCAUAUCCAUACCCGUACCUAACUAAAAAUGCGAAACCCGAAUCCUAGCCCGAACCUAAAAUAUUUAUUUUCUCUUUACAAUAUUUUAAAAUAUAUUAAAUUAAAUCUAAAAUUUUAAAAUACAUAUUCAAAUAUCAAAAUCCAUAUCCGAAUUCAAAUCCAUUAGGUUUUCAUUUCUGACAUUCAUGUCCAAAACUAUAUCUGUUUAGUAUAAAUAAAUCGAUUGCGUUUGCUUUUGAAUUUGGAUUCAAAUUCAGAUAAAAUUAUAGGUGUCUGUACCCAUUGACAUCCGUAAUCCAUAUAUAUUUUAUCAUUUCAUAUUCAUAAUCUACAGAUAUUUUAUUAAAAAAUAUUACAACAUUGAAUUUAAAUUUUUUUUUACUUAUAUUUAUUUUUUUUUUUAAUUUCUGAUAAAAAAUUAAUAUCUAAACUAGAGAAAUUUAAAAGUUUCUUACACAAAUUAAAUAUGUUGAAUUUGUUAUUAUCAACAUUAAAUUUGUUAAAAUAGUAACACAAAAUUUUCUUAUUUAAAUAUUUACAUUUAAAUAUUAAAUAUUUAAAUUCAACAUAUUUAGAAAUAUUACUAUUUUUACGAUUCCUAAAAUUUAAAUUAAUGCCUAAAUUAGAAGAAUUCUAAAAUUUCUAAAAUUAAUGCCUAAAAUUUGGGAUAUCAAUUAAAUUUUAAAUUAAUGGUUAAAUUAGUGCAAAAUUAAUGCUAAAUUUGGGAUAUUAAUCAAAACUUUCUUAAAACUUUGCCCAGUAAUAAUUACAAAAAUACCCUAACAUGAAAUAACCUUUUAACCUGCUACAUAAUUAUAUAACAUUUUUAACCUUCAUUAAUCAACGGUUAAGAUUUUUUUUUAUAUAAAAUAAAGUACCAAAUCAUUUCUCUAAUAAUAAAACACAACUAGUGGUCCAAAUUUUGUAGAAGUCUACAAGUUAAACCCGCCUAUUUGAUAAAGUUGUAAGAUAUAGUAUUGUACGACAAAAUAUUAUUUGUAAGAGUUAUUAGGAAAGGCACCUUCCUUCAGUAUAGAGUUUUCAUUUUUGAAUCUCAAAAUUCGCUUUCUGCUUUUCGCUGCUGCAAAAGUUUGAAACAUUUUUAAUUACCAAGUGCUCUGUUAUAAAUAACUAUAGCUAAAAGCAAAAACAAAAAGCAAGUGAAAAAAUGUCUGUCUUUUUCAAUGCAAAAGUAGUUUUCCCACUUAAAAAAUAUUUCCCCCCAGCUAAUUCAAGCCAAUCAGAAAAACAACAAAUUAACAUUUACUACAAAUUACUGACCGUCUCUAGCGCAAGUGGCAAAAGACUUAGUGAUUGGUAUCUGAGGUCCCAAGUUCGAAUCCUAGUUGAUUCACAUUUCUAGCUAAGUUUAUUUCUAAAUAAAAUAAACGAAACCGGUAGCAUGCUACCUAUCUCUCUCUCAGAAAAAAUAAAAAUAAAAAAAUAAAAAAAAAACAUUUACUACAAAUUUGGCUUUGUGCAGCACAAUCCAGCAUGAGAUCCAAUGUCCACAGCUUGCAAAAUCCUAGUAUAUAUUGCUUCUUAUUUUAUGAAAAAAAAAUACCCUCACAAGCCUAUGAUCACAUUUCAUCAUAAAUAGAAACGCAUUGCAGUAGCACCCCUCCAGAUACUUUGUGAGCCCAAUUAUUGCACAACAUAUAUAGACUUAACUAAUGAUUUGUAUCUUCUUCUUAUUGCUGAUUAUAUAACUAAGAGCAUUUGCUAAAAGCCCAAAAACACUACAGUAACCAAUAAAAGAAAAAGGAAUAGAAUCAAUGUACAACCCUGCACCUCUUUUCGUUUACUCUGCAUCAUCUUGACAAUGUUUACAUUUUGUCACGAACCUCACAAUAAAGAAUAAAACAAGAAAUCAAAAGGGAGAGAGAAAUUCCAAGCUUAGAAGACCAAAAUUUGAGGGGAAAAAAGAUCUAAGAAUAAAUACACAUAAUCAGUAUCUACCAAUUCUAGUGAACACCUACAACAUGCUGGUCUAUUCCAACAACAAACAAUUCACGGCCGCGACGAAGACGACUGAAGUGUUUUAGUAGUCGGCACGCCGUGGCCUUUGUCGCUCGGGCCGGACGGGGGGAUAUGCCUGUUCGCGAGUGCGACAUGCAAUGGACUGAGCUUCACAUGAUCUACGAGUUGCGAACUCUUUUGCACCGUAAUAACCGUUACCGACGGCGGGUCGGGCCGAGCCGAGGCAAUUGAAAUGGCUAAGAGAAAGAAGAGAACUAAGUAGAGCUUCGAGGAGAAGCAUCUGGGAGAGAGAAAGAAGGUGAUCAUGUUGAUGGUUAUGCUCAAAGAAGUGGUGUGGGGGGGGGUGUAAUGAGGGGAAAUUAAAUAAUGGGGCAAUUUAUAAAAGUCGUUAGGCCAAAGUUUACUUCACGAGAUCAAUGAGAAUACUUAAGUUUCCGGUCCUAGCACGUUAUAAAAUAGGUUAAGUAGCUAACACUUUCAUGGUUCUAACUCGGGUCCCACCCGGGUCUAUUCCUUGGCUUCUUUUUUUUUUUGUAUUGUUGACAUUUUGCACCUACACUUGGUGCAAUGUCCAAAUUGAACAAAGUUGUUGGGGUCUAUUUCAUUGGCUAAAAAAUUACAUUAUUCACAUAUAUUCCUACUUCUUCCAAAAUAAUAAUAAUAAUAAUAAUAAUAAUAAUAAUAAUAAUAAUAAUCUAAGUGUUCAGAACAAGAUGCACAAAAAUUGCUUUUCUUGUUCUCUCCUAAAUAGAAAGGUUGUUAAAGAGCAUAAUCAAUCCAAAAACUUAAACUAAUAAAUUAAGAUGUCCUUAUGAAAUGCAUAUAUAAGUCAGUAUUCUAGUUUCUAGUGAUUAUAAAACUAUUAUUUUUAAUGAAGGUAGUUUAUUACUAAAGUGACCGGUGUGAUUUGAUGUUUUCGGUUGUAUUAAGUAUAUUCACAACAAAAAAAAAAAGAAAUAUAAAAUUAACAUAAAAAUUUGGUGCUCAAAACCAGUUGAUCUUUUCCUCUCAAAAUAGAUACCUGAAUCAAAUUUUUACUUUUACCUUAAGUAAAAGAUAUGGUGAUAUACUGUUAGAAAAUUUGUUAUAGCCUUUUUUUGAAUUUAAGGAUGAGGAGAAAGAUUACAAUAAGGUAAAAGAUAUGGUGAUAUUUUGUUAGAAAAUUUGUUAUAGUCAUUCUUUGAAUUUAAGGAUGAGGAGAAAAAUUACAAACAAGCAUUAUCUAACUUAGAAAUAAAGUAUUUAGAGUUUUUCGUUUUCAAGUAAAGAAUCUAAAGCCAACUAAUAAGUCUAAAGGGUGCUUAAAUUUAUGGUACUAUUGAGUCUCCUUCCCCUUUCGCCCUCACUAAAAAGAUUUUUUUUUUUUUAAAGAAAGAAAAAGUAAAGAGAUAAAAGAAAAAGAAUAUAAGGACAUGUAUGGACCUCGCUUUGUAGAGCAUGAUGUAAACAAUAAACACACACAACCCCCCCUUCUCUCUCUCUCUCUCUCUCUCUAAAUGCCUCUCUUUUUCUUUUUUUUUUCCUAUGUACUUCCUCCACUUGUAGUUUUUAAAAUUUAAAAAUUUUAUUGAAUAAAAUUAGAAAUUUCUUAAAUUUAUCAAUAGUACGUUUUGUUCUUCUUAAUAAGUUUUAAUCACUACUUACUAAAUAAAAAUAUAACAAUUAAUGGGUAAUAGCUUAUGUAGCCGUUCGAUUUAAUUUUACGAAUUUUUAAUUUAACAAAUUAAGAAAACUCAAUAAGAAAAAAAAGAAAUUAAAAGUCAAGCCUGGGACCAAUAAAAUAAUAAAUAAUUCCCAAUAGAUAGGGAUCUCCUUACAGGUAAGAAUUUAUUAGCUAACUAGUUUUUGACCCGUAGAUCAACGGAUAAUAUAAUAAUAUAAAAUAACAAAAGUUAUUAUGUGAUGAUAAAAAAUAUUUCUAAUUAAUAUUAUAUUUUUUUAACACAAUAAAGAAAUAUACUAUCAAUCUUAAUAAUAUAAUAACAUAUUAAAGUACAAAAAAUAGAGAAAAAAAAUAUAUAGACCAAAAUAAAUACUUAAGUAAAAAGUAAAAUUCAACCCUACUUUUUAUCUAUGAAUUGGUAUGCAAAACAAUUCACAUUUGCAUAUUGAUGUGCAAAAUAAAAUGAUAACUAAAAUUGAUAUGAAAAAUUACAAAUAAUAUUAAUAUUUAAGAACUAAUUCUAGGCUAUUCAUCACUCUGGAUGAUGAAAUUCAGGCAUAGUAUACAGACAAAUCACUUUGACUUGACUUCCAUUUGUCUCCAGAAGAUGUGUCACGUAUAGAAUCAUACCGAAGUGCAUAUCCUGAGAACAAUAAGACAUCCAAGAAAAAAAAUUAAUAUUUGCUUCGUAUUUAAAAUAAAAUAAAAAUAAUAUGUUCUAUUUUAAAGAUCGACAUCUAAGAACUAAGAAAAUUCCAGGAGAUAGUAGGGAAAAAAAUUACGAAGUAAAAAUUACAGAAUGAGUGAUAGUAUGGAAGUGACAUGCAAUAUCUAUAUAUAUAUAAUAUAUAUAUAAAAGCGGUGAGUUUGAAUUUUUUCCUCUUUCAAAAAUGCCUCUAUCCUUUUUUACUAAUAUUUUUAAUCAAUAAUUUUCAAACAAUCAUUUCAAAUAAUUAACUAAGUAAUAAAUUUAUUCUCAAAUAAAAUAUUAAUUUUUUGUCAUUAGAUCUUAUCUAAUGAUUGAAAUAAAAGCAUCUGUUACUUUUUGUACAAUAAAUACUUUAGUAUUUAUAUCAUAUUUUCUAUCUAGGCGUUUUUCAAUAUUUUUCUUCUCACGCGUAAUAUCCGCACCCGCCAAUUCUUUCGCAACGUAAUAUUUUGUGAAUUUAUCAAAUUAUCUCAUUAAUCCACCUACCAUACAUCCACACCUGCAACUGUAAUAUCGUGAAUUUCUCAAAUAUCUCUAUAAUCACAUACCAUAACACAUCCACCACCUACAUAAUAUCAGUUAACCUUUCUCAUACGUAAUAUGACCUAUCAUAAUUUUGAAUUAAACAUAUCAUCGUAUUUGAAUUUAAAUAUUAAAAUGAUUCAAAAUUAAAUUUUAAAUCAAAUAUGAAUUUUAUUGCGAAAAUAUCUUUAUCUUUUUAACUAAUUUUUUCAUGUCCAAAAAUUUUGAACCAUUCAUCUCAAAUAAUCCAUUAAAUUUUGACGCAUUUGAAUUUAAAUCUUAAAAUAUAUCGAAAUUAAAUUUUGAAUUUUGAAUUAGUAUUUACGGUUUAAGAUUUAGAUAAUUGUUUAAUUGGUAUAAUUUGACGUAAUUUGAACUUAUUUGAAUUAAUUUUAUUUAAUUUGGUUUAAAUAUAAUAAUUAACUAAGUAAUAAUUUAUUCUAAAAUAAAGAUAUUAAUUUUUUGCCAUUAGAUCUUAUCUAAUGAUUAAAAAUAAAAGUAUCUGUCACUUUUUGUGACAAUAAUACCUUCGCAUUUAUAUCAUAUUUUCUAUCUACGCGUUUCUCAAAUAUUUUCCUUCUCACACGUAAUAUCCGCACCCGCCAAUUCUUUCGCAACGUAAUAUCCGUGAAUUUUUCAAAUAUCUCAUUAAUCCACCUACCAUACACAUUCACCGCCUAUAUAAUAUCUAGUUAACCUUUCUCAUACGUAAUAUGACCUAUCAUAAUUUUGAAUUAAACAUAUCAUCGUAUUUGAAUUUAAAUAUUAAAAGGCUAAAUUACAGAAAACUCCCCUGUCAAAACUCGAUUUUUCACUUUCCCCCCUGUCAUUUAAAAACCUACACUUUAACCCCUUGUAAAAUAAAAAAUGUGCACUUUACCCCCUACCAUUAGAGUUCCGUUAUAACAUUUUUUUAUGCCAAAAAUACCCCUCCGCUCCUAUUCCCUGUUGCUUCGAUGGCUUCCGGGACGGCGCCCUCGCCGGCCUCACCCUCAUCCACGAGCUCAACCUCCUCUUCGACCGCCCCCUCGACGCCAUCUUCCUCAACUCCAACCGCCUCAGCCGCCGCCGCCCCAUCCCUGCCAACCUCGGCGACUCCCCAGCCUCCAUCGUCUUCCGCGCCCACAACAAACUCGGCGGCUGCAUCCCGCCCUCCAUCGGCCGCAUGGCCGACACUCUCAACGAGAUCGUCCUUCUCGACGACGGCCUCGCCACCUGCGUCCCGCCCGAGGUCGGCCUCCUCCGCCGCGGAUGAGGAGGAUGAGGGAGAAGACGAAAAUGGCGAAGGGCAAAAUGGUUAUUUUGUCACAUCGUACCCCCCUGUGAACAUUUUGUAUUUUACAAUGGGGCAAAGUGUAGGUUUUUAAAUGACAUGGGGGAAAGUGAAAAAGCGGGUUUUAACAGGGGGGUUUUUCAUAAUUUAGCCAUAUUAAAAUGUUUCAAAAUUUAAUUUUAAAUCAAAUAUGAAUUUUAUUGUGAAAAUAUCUUUAUCUUUUUAACUAAUUUUUUCAUGUCCAAAAAUUUUGAAUCAUUCAUCUCAAAUAAUAUAUUAAAUUUUAACGCAUUUGAAUUUAAAUUUUAAAAUAUAUCAAAAUUAAAUUUUGAAUUUUGAAUUAGUAUUUACAGUUUAAGAUUUAGAUAAUUGUUUAAUUGGUAUAAUUUGACUUAAUUUGAACUUAUUUGAAUUAAUUUUAUUUAAUUUGGUUUAAAUAUAAUAAUUAACUAAGUAAUAAUUUAUUCUAAAAUAAAGAUAUUAAUUUUUUGCCAUUAGAUCUUAUCUAAUGAUUGAAAAUAAAAGUAUCUGUCACUUUUUGUGACAAUAAUACCCUCGCAUUUAUAUCAUAUUUUCUAUCUACGCGUUUCUCAAAUAUUUUCCUUCUCACGCGUAAUAUCCGCACCUGCCAAUUCUUUCGCAACGUAAUAUCCGUGAAUUUUUCAAAUAUCUCAUUAAUCCACCUACCAUACACAUCCACCGCCUAUAUAAUAUCCAGUUAACAUUUCUCAUACGUAAUAUGACCUAUCAUAAUUUUGAAUUAAACAUAUCAUCGUAUUUGAAUUUAAAUAUUAAAAUAUUUCAAAAUUAAAUUUUAAAUCAAAUAUGAAUUUUAUUGCGAAAAUAUCUUUAUCUUUUUAACUAAUUUCUCAUAAGUAAUAUGACCUAUCAUAAUUUUGAAUUAAACAUAUCAUCGUAUUUGAAUUUAAAUAUUAGUGUAAUAUAUGCACCCGCCAAUUCUUUCGCAACGUAAUAUCCGUGAAUUUUUCAAAUAUCUCAAUAAUCCACCUACCAUACACAUCCAUCACCUACAUAAUAUAUCAUCGUAUUUGAAUUUAAAUAUUAAAGUGAUUCAAAAUUAAAUUUUAAAUCAAAUAUGAAUUUUAUUGCGAAAAGAUCUUUAUCUUUUUAACUAAUUUUUUCAUGUCCAAAAAUUUUGAACCAUUCAUCUCAAAUAAUCCAUUAAAUUUUGAUACAUUUGAAUUUAAAUCUUAAAAUAGAUAAAAAUUAAAAUUUGAAUUUUGAAUUUGAUUUAACUUGAUUUUUAAUAAUAUAGUAAAUAAAAUAGAGUUUUACACGUGGCAAGCAUAUAGAAAGUUACGUGUCAGAUUCUCACAAAAGUUUCAUAAAGGGUUCUACUUUAGUAUAUAGUAAUAGAUAUCUAAGAUUUUAUUUGAGAUUGCAAAAACAAAUUGUAAUACAUACAAUAAAAAAGAGUAUCUAAUAUAUUUUAUACAUCAUAAUGAGUUAUAUUUCUUUACAGUUUUACCAGAAAACAAUAAGUACACUUUUUUUUACUUUUGCUCCAAUUUACUAAUAUUAGAUGCAUGUAUUUUUUGAGUUAAAAAUAGCACGCUAGCUCUUCAUUUAAUGGGAGGAUGAACAAAGCUAUAGUGGUGAGGCAAUGGAAGGUCUCAAGUAAGAAGGGCUAAAAAAAUAAAAAUAAAAAUCACAUCGUUCAGUGAGAGAAUGGUUGCUAAAGUGAGAGGAUUUGUCCCCUCAGGUAUAUUAACUGCUUAACUUUGGAGACUGCUAGUAGGGGGUUCGGCUGAGCCUUCUUAAAGAUCGCACCGUUCCUGACCUCCCAAGUGACAUACCAGCAUGCUAAGUCGAGUUAGUCCCUUACACUGUGUCUGUAGUCUUUUUUUAAUCUUCCACCUAUUCCGGACCUGGUUCACAUAGUUUCCCAAAUCCAUAGAUUGUACACUUACUAAGGUCAUCACCAUUAGGAAUCUAGUAAAGACGCAUUGUGCGAAUAAAUGGCCCACUGAUUCCUCUUCAAUCCCACACAGCACAUAGGCUGUGUUUUCGGUCCACCCUUUCUUCUUCAAGUUAUCUACUGUCAAAAGCCUCAUCUUGAGAACGAGCCAACAAAAUAUUUUUACUUUUAACGAUAUUCGAAGGUUCCAUAUUUUGUUUGCUCGGCUCCCUCGUACCUCUAUCACUCAGCGCUGAGUAGGUUAAUUCCACCAUAAAUCAACCAUCAGAGCUCCAUCGCCACAAUACUCUGUCCGAUUUUUGUCGUACUGUAAAUUCGGAUAUCCUAUGCCUAAGCGCUGAAGAGCUAGGCCAAGAUCCGUAUCCAAUUAUGUUGUCAUAUCUUAAAAUCUUGGUCCAUUUCCGCCUUUCACUCGUCAAACAAUCACCGACUCUUAUAUUUUUGCGUGUUGCCAUAUCGUACAAAUUUGAAAAUACUGACUAAAGUUAGACUUCCCCGCACCAACAAUCCGACUAAAAAUCGAUAGUACUCCCGUUUCCUGGCUCGUAUGAUACUCCCUAUUGGAAAAUUUCAUUAAGACUUGAAAUUUUCUUCCACCAACAGGAGAAAAGUAUAAAUUAAAUAUCUUCCAUCCUCCAGAAGUCUUCUUCUAAAGUGAUAUAAGUCAUAAAUAAUAUUAGAGGAGUGUUAAUAUCAAAAAUAAACUCUAAAUAAAUAUGGUUAGAGAGAAGAUAUGGUGGAAUAUUUGACUCUAAUGCCCUGUGGACCUUUUUUUUUAAUUUUUAUUUCAAUUUUAAUUUUAAUUUUUUUUGUUUAAGCCUUUCGAGCACAGCAAAAAAAAACCAUACACAAAAAGUCAAUGGAAAACGCACGCCAAAGGGGCGAUGGCAAAUUUCCACAAUGCGUACGGCCUCUACACGUGGACUGGGCCCCACGUGGCAGCUGCACAUCUUCGUGUAUGUAACCGUUACACCGAAGAACUUCCACCAUGUGGUCAGAGGAAGUUGCUGGGAGCUGGGAUUCUCUUCACAUACCGGUGUCCAAUAAAAAAAAUUGUGUAUAAAUCACUAAUAUUCAACCCACAUUUGGUAACGCAGGAUUAUGUAAAUUUUUUAUGAAAAAAUGGUUCUUAAAAAAUACAUAAGCAUGUACCAUUUUUUUAAUUUUAAAAAAAGCCUAAAAUAUCGGAGACAAAUAUUAAGAAUAUGUUUAGCUCUUUUUUUUAGAUUAUGGAAUCAGAAUGAGAUUGAUUAAUUUUAAGAAAUUAGUAGUUAUUGCUUGUUUUAAAGGAAUAAUUUUCCAACUUUCAUUUCACUCCGGAUUGAAAAUGGUGAAAUUCAUUUAGAAUAUUGGAUUGGCCCAUUCCAAAAUUAAUUAUUUAGAUUUUUUUUUUUUUUCACCAACAUCUUCCCUCCUCUUCUUUCGUUACUUUUCUCUCUCUUAAUUAAAACAUUAAUUCUCUCAAAAAUUUUAGAUUUUCAUUGGAUAUCCAUUUCAAUAACCAACCAAAUAUCUUUAGAUGAUUCGUCGUUCCUUUUUCAUUCCAAAAUAAUCCAAUUCAAGUGAGACCUCUCUGAAGCACUCUUUGAUGAAAUUGCGCUAGAAAAUGGGUGCAUGCAUGUCUGGGAGCUUACAAACUAGUACACAAAUAGGAGAAUAUUGAGAAUUGCUCCGUAAAUAAUAGCAAUACUUGCGCGAUGUACAGAAAUUUUCUGAGCACUAAAUUUAAAGAGAACUUUGGUAUUGAACGAAGCAAUAUCCAAGUCUCUUUCAUGUUUAUUAUAGCAAGACUAUAAUUGCUUCGCCCUCACGGCUCAAACAUUAUUGCUUCCUUUCUCUUUCUUAUGUUAUAGUCAUGGAAUUCCUUUUUAUGCAGUGCUCGAAAGGUUGUAUCGAUAUCACAAUUAUUCUUUUUAUUGGGCAAAAGGACAGCAGGAAAUCCGAGUUAAUCGUAGAAUGACAGUUCGUGUCGGAUUUCAUUAGUCGAAGGCCGGAUUCGUGCGAGUUCGUUCGGUCUCACAAAUUUCACGACGAACAACUUCAAAUUCUGAAAGGAACUAGAACUAAGAUUUCGAAGCUCAAACUAAUUAGGUUUCCACCAGAGUAAGCCUUAAAGAGUCUAAGAUAAUACAGAAUAUAUAAAGUACUAGAAAAAAACGUAUAAAACUUAUCUGAAUUAUGAAUCAUUUUGAAAAGUUUGAAUUUUACUAUCUCAUUUUUCAAUUUGUUUGAUUUUAAAUCGGUCAAUAGUAAUUUGACUUCAUAAAUUGCAUAUGUCGUUUAUCUUUACAAGUUUAAUUAGUUUAUUUUCAUACAAAUUAAAAGACUGGAUAAUAAAAUUAAUUCUUUUAAAAAAUUGAUAGCAAAUUUAAAAUGACUCAUAAUUUAAAUAAGUUUUGCAGAUUUUUAUCAAAGUAUUAUCAUAGUACAGCAUCACCAACCAUAACUCAACAGUUGCGUUUCGUGCAGGUCAAUUGGUAGGCACCGUAGUGCGGAAUAAAUUAAAAGAAACAAAGCUUGGCAUUAAUUUCUUGUAUCGACAAAUAUUUUGAGUCUUAAUCGUGGAAAAGAAAAUAAAGAAGAUGUUGGGUGGACAAGGGGGAUGAUGACAUGGUCCAGUGCGGGCUCAUUUAUGACUCAUAAAUCCAUAAAUUUGGUCCGCGAGAGCGACACGGGUGCGCCACACUAGACUCUUUUUAAGCAAGUGCAUAACACAAAUGCCUUUUCUUUUCUUUUUUUAUUUAUUUAUUUUUUUUUGGGCUUUGACUAUUACUUCCCCUAUGAUGAGGCAAUUCGCCAUCAAGUUUGCAACUGUCAUAUGGAGACUUAUUCGCCAUACAAACGUGUACGGUGUACUUCAAACUGUAUAAAAGUAUAAAAGUAUUUUAGUACAUGUAUAUAUAUAGUAUUUGUGCAUCAACUAAUUAAUUGGUUACUACUUGGGGGAGGUGGUGUUCUAUAUAGUAGUGGCAUCAUAUUAUUUGUAUCUCAAUCAAUCAAAUUUUUGUUGAGAAAAAAUAUAAUAUUUUUUUAACAAAAAAAUUGAGGGAUAGGCCAACUACAAUGUCACAAUUUGAUUGGUCGUGGACACGGGUGAAGCAGUGUCACCGCUAUAUUUUAUACUUUAUUUUUUUUUUUCGGAGGAGUUUUCUGAAUUGGCUCAAAUUUUUGUAUAUUGGCUCAAGGUACGAAAUUAUUACAUAUUACAAACCUGAGGGAACUCAAAACUCGGAAAAUUCUAUUUCAAAACGAUAUUAGAAAAUGUGAAAUAAUCGUUUUGCUGCUAAAAAGUAAAGCUGUCAAAUUGAAAAAAAAUUGUAUUUUUUGAUAUUUAUAUUCUAUAAUAUGGAGCUUCUGAGGAGAAUUAUAAGUAGCUUGAUUUGUAUUUACUGCAUGGCAAGGACCACACAAUGUGUUUAAAGAUAAGUGAUCUUGCUGAAGCUGCUUAUAAAGAAGUGUAAGAUCUUGAUGUGACCUUGCUUAAAAGUAUGCUUCUAAAUAAGUCUUUGGCGUAUGAUCUUCUUUCUUCUCUUUCUUUUCCUUUUGUUUUCUCUUACUUUAGGCAUCCUUUUAUUUGAAAAGGAUUUUCUUUCUUUCAUUUCCGCGUUCUUAUCCUCCCUUGGGAAAAGUCUUUAUUGCAAUAAUUACACCACACAAAAAUAUAUCCAAACUAAUUAUUUUAUUAUUUUCAUAUAAAGUAAGAAUUUAAGUACCGCUGCAUGAAGUCGUGCUAGAAACGAAACUUACGGGCACGAUGCAUAUCAAGUUAUGCCGAUGCUUACCGGUUACAAAAAAUUCAUAUGUGCCAACACAUAAUAUCGUAAAAUAUUUAUUUUCUUUAGCAACAAAAUAUUCUAACUAUUUAUUAUAUAUUUUUAUCAAAUUAUUUGAAUUUUACUGAAAAAAUUACUUAUUAAUUUAAAGAAUAGAAGACCUUGAGCGGUACCAUCGGCACGGAGACUAUGUCAUGCCGAUAUCUAGCACGAUAAAAACGGUUCGUGUCGCAUGGACUUACAGAGUAAUUGUGAUAGAAAAAACACUCUCCUCGCUAAGCACUUCGCGUCUCAGAUCCAGUAGGAACUCAGAAAUCUUAACUAUUUAUUGAUAACUCCCUUUAAUAUGUAUACACUUUCUACCGAUUUAUAAAAUUUUGAGGGAUUUUUUAUGAUUACUUCUUUUUUGACAAAACAUGAUGGCUUAAAUCUUUGAUCGCCUUAUAAUUUUGGUUAGUUCAAUUAUUUGAGAAGAAGGGGGUUUUAGGCCACCCAAGUUAGGUACUAAUUUAUCAAUUUUUCCCAUUUAGUCUUAACAUUUUUACCAGUAACUAAACUAGAUCACCACUCUAUUAGAACAAACAUAAACUGAUCUAUCUGAUGCUCAAGUUAACAUUUCUAAACCACAAGAUAUAGUGGCAUGCAUCAUCAGUUUGUUAUCAACAGUGUCAAGAAAAAGGAGAACAUACGAAAAGCAGCUUGUUCAUAUCAGUUGCCACUUUUCUUCUGAAGGAUAAGAAAUUAAAGUAGCUUGUUCAUAUUGUUCAUAUCAGGCAGUGGCAAUAAUUCGUCUCUUGUUGUUACCUGUAAACACAUAAUCCCUUCUGGUUCUUUGCUUUUGCUGCUCCAUUUGCUGCUAUUUGGCAUAUAGCUUCUGCAUCAGCUGCUUCUCUCAGCAGAAAAUAAAAGAAACAGAAGCUUCAAUUUUAGCACUUACUAGCUCGCAAAUAGUACGCAGCUGGUAAGCAAUGUUGAUCAAAAAAAGUGUUCUACUUAUUUCAGACAGCUCUUCUCAAAAUAGCACCUUUGUAGAAGCUCUAACAAUACCACAGAUGUGCGUGGCUCGCUGAUAUGGAUAACAUGGUUUCAGAAAUAUCAAAAAAAAGACUACAGAGGUAUUGAAAAUUCUUUACGGGAUUGGAUAAGAUUUUGAGAAGAUACCCGUCUGAAAGCGGAUUGAUUCAAUCAUCUUGUCAAGAUCAUCGGUGAUCACAGGCUGUUGUUGGUGAAAUGAAUCUGUCUAGAUCAUGAAACUUGUAAUCAGCUUCUAAACUGACCUGUAACCCAGAGCGCAUAACAAUUCCAACAAAGUAUCUGUACCAUGAACUAAGCUUACAUAGCCAUUGCGCGAAGUUUGGUAUGUUACUUGCUGUUGAAAGAACUUAACCUUCGGAUUUGUACUCCAGCAAGUAUUGAACUAUAAGAUGUCACACUAGAACUAAUAUGCAUCUAAAAUGAAGCGGAGCUGAUUUGUUCCCCAGUUCUCAGCAUGUGCACAAAAUCUUCCUGAGUGGUAAAAGAACAGGAAAGCUGAAAAUGAGAAAAAAGGAAAGAGGAUAUGAAAUCGGCGUAACUUCUGCUGAAUUCUGAACACAGCCCAUACCUUUAAAUCAUUAAAGAAGCCCAGAAUGUUUAUACUUCCAAUGACCAUAAGAUAUAUAAUAGUAACAUAAAAUUACCAAGUUCACUAAUAUUACGAAUUAUCUGAGAUUAUUUUCCCUUGAAUUUAUACGAGCAGCUAGCACGUAAAGGGGAUCCCAAAAGAUCCUCAUCCUUGUACUGUGUUGUUGUUGCUAAACUCUUUAGGCAUGAAACUAUUUAUCCACUCGACUUUUUUUUUUACAAGAUUCCACUGUAAGUUCCGCAAUCUUUCUCAAAAAUAACUAGUUAAUUUAAUUUAUAUAUAUUACUGAUCAAUGUGAUAAACUUAUUCUUUCCUAUUAUCGUUUGUUUUCUCGAAGGUAUGCAUGCCAAGCUAAUUAGAGAGUCGAUACGGUUAAUGCCCGGCCUCGACGGAAAAGAUGCUAUUUCUAAUUUACAGAAAAAUAAGUAGAAUACUAUGAACUACAAAUAUUUUGAGUCUAUUCGACUCAACAAGCAUUUUCCGCACAAGCACUGUUUGAUUUGAGUUCUCUGAUUACAAAAGCUUAUCUUAAUAAAAUCAUCUCAAGAACUCUCCCUUGAAAGCUAGAAUUUCUCAACAUAGAUAACAUACUAAAAAGAAUAUUAUAUGAAGGAAUAGAGGUUAAAUAUAUCAUUGUACUGUGUUACGGUGCUAUCCAUCAUCAUACACACUUCUUAGCUAGGGAUGGCGACAGGAAGUAGGUUCAGAUCGGCCCAGUUGAUCCAAAUCUGACUUAGACGCACCAGCAUAUGUCUCAAUGUUGGCUCGUUCCAAACCCCUGAAACCGGAGGCUUGACAGAGCCAACGAGCCAACAAGCUGAGCUCGAGUUGAUUCAAAAGUUUGACGAGCUAAGCUCUUAGCUCGAGAUCGAACCUUGCGAUCUCGCAUCAGCUCGCUUGAGCUUGGCUUGUUUACACCCAUAACUCAGGCUGUUGGGACCAACGCAAUUGGAUUUGGACCUUACAUUACAUACCAGUUGCUUUGCUUCCACAGACGUAUCGUUGCCGUUCGAUGCCCCGUGUGCUUCCAAUCACAACCGUCCGAUUCGAUACUGUAGGUAGACCUUACACUGUAUAACGGUCCGCCCGAUCAUGAACCCCGGGACCACCGUGAACCCCACGGUGGGCCACCUCCCCUCCUCUCCUUCGCCGUCGUCGUCGUCCUCCUCCUCCGCGACGCUCUCCAUGUACACCUCUGAGAACCUCUCACCCCUCCUAACCCUAAAGAUCGACCCCACCUCCGCGCACUCUCCUUCCCUGUCGAAGGAGAAGAAGAGGCAAUGGAGGAGCCACACCCUCCUCGCCAUCUCUGCGAACUCGGCGAAGAACUCCGACUUCAUCAUCUCCCUCUGAUCCAUCCCCUUAGAGAAAGAGGCCUCCAUCUUCGGGUGCACUAACCCUAGGUACUUCGCCUUGUAGAACUGCCCAAGGGGCGAUCGCGAGGUCCUCUCGUCGAGCGCACGAUUCGGCGUUGAGGAGUUGAUCUCCCCGAACUCGCGGAAGAAGCGGGCGCGAUCCCACUCGGAUCGGAGGAGAUCGAAGCCGCGGCGGUGGAAGCCGGAGAACAUCACGCGGCAGACGAAGGAUUCGAAGGCGAGGGCGCGGUGGCUAGGGUUUCGGAGCCGCACGUCGGCAGCGGCGGCCGCGGCGGCGUCGAGGUCCCACCCCGCGGAUUCCAUCUUCGUCGCCAUGGAUUUCGCGAAGGAUCGGAUGGACCUGAGGGUGUAGCGAAGGGCGGUGCGGAAGUGGCUAGGGUUUAGGCCGGAGAGGUGGAGGCCGUCGAGGGCGGAGAUCGAGCGCCCGUGGCGGAGCCGCGCCUCUAGGGCUCCGCAAAGCUUCUCCGAUCCGAGGAGAUCGGAGCUGAGGGAGCCCAUCUCGGCGUCCUUGAGCUCGAUCUCGCUCUCCAUGGCUCGGAGGGUGACCUCGUAGGUGGCGAUGAGGUGGCGCCGCUCCUCGAUCUCGGCGGCGGAGGGAUCGGGGCGUGGUCGGGGGAGGUCCCUGCGGUAGGAGCGCUUGAGAUUGGAGAGGCGCACGAGCUCGGCGACCACUGCGCGGUCCGCGGCGUGGAUCGCGUCGGGGUCGUAGGGCGACUCCGCGAGCUGGAGCCGCGCGUAGGCGGCUUUGAUAGCGGAGACGCUCGCGAAAAGCGCCGCGAGGAGGGACUCCGCCUCGUCCCUCUCCGCCAUUAACGGUGGGAGCUUCUUCUUCUUCUUCUUCUUCGUCUUCGUCUUCCUCUCGAGCUCGUCGUCGUAGAGCUUGAGCUUUGCGCUAAUGGUGGAGGAGGCGUCGUCUUCAUCGGCGGCGGAGGAGCGGCGGAGGCGGAGGAGCUUGGUGAAGGUUCUUUUAAUGGAGGCGAGGUGAGUGGGAGGGGUUGGGCGCAACGUUUCCAUGGCCAUUGUCGCUUCUCUUCUCCUUCUUCUUCUUCUUCUUCUUCUUCUUCUUUGAGGAAUUUGUUCUCUCUUGCAGGCUACACGGAGGGUUUUAGCUUCGCCAGCUAUUAUAUGGAGAGUAGUGACAACGGUAAGAAUCUUUCGCUCCGUUCGAAACGAGCUUUUCAGAGGUUUUGUUUUGGCUUUUGUUUAAAAAAGAUAAUAAUGCGGAGAGAAGGAGAUAUUAAUUUUUUUAAAAAUUUUUAAGAACGGAGGAAGGAGGUGCAAGAAGGUGCUGGUAGAUUCUCUACAAACUCUGGUGGAUCAUCGAUCUGCAGGUGCGCCGCGCAAUCUUCAUCUGUGAUUCAAUGGUCAUAAUCUAAAUUUCUCUGCUCUCACAGACGUAUUAAUUCCCUUAUCCUAUUAGUUGUUACAUUUGAAAUGUGAAAUGCUAAAACAAAUUACUAAUUAUGAUAUGUUCAAAAUCUACUCAACAAACACUUAAGAAUAAAUUGCAUUCGAUUAAACAAUAGUACGAGUACUUGCUAUUAUUAUAAUAUUUAAAAGUGUUAGAAAAGUUAGUAUACAACCAAUCAAAAGUAAAACUAGCAAACACCGAGGUGGCGAGGUCCCAACUUUCGCACAAUAUUCCCCCAUUAUUUGGAUUCUCGUGUUAAUAGGAGCAUGUCCCCCAUUAAAGGUAAUGAAGCAGAGGAUUAAAAUAAGCAAGGAAAUGAGCUUUGGUUUAUUGGGAGUAGAGAAAUCUUGGAAUAAUGCAGGACCAGUGGCAGCGAACCUAAAUCAUGCUCGGUUGUCAGGGGUUAUUAGAUUCGUUUUACAAAUUUAAAAAAGUGUCAUAAAUUAAUCUGAUUAGGUUCCAUUUAUUAAAAAAAUAUACAUAUGAUUAAUUUAGCCGAGUAGGCCAAUUGAGUUAAAGCAGGGACUGGUGCUGUACUGCUGUGGACCAGAUCGUCUCUUUGCCCACCUGCAACCCACUUAGCUUGCCUAUCAAUCACUUUGCAGCGUAGCCCUGUACUAGCAAAAUAUUCUUAUGUAUCCCCAUAUUGUUCAUAUUUCAUAUCUGAGAAACAAGUUAGUUUCUGAACUUUCACAUGCUCACUGUAAAAUAAAACUAUAAUCCUAUUACAACUUAUAUGUUUUUGAUUUUUGUCUCCACUUGAAGUAAAUUGAAAUAAUCGAGUCAUUUCAAAGAAAAGUAGUAGUAGUUAUGUAAAAAAGCAAAUUUUCAUCAGUGAUCACAUGUUGAAGUUAAGUUGCUGAAGUGUGCGAGGACCAAACUGUAAUGCGGAAACGGCAGAGGAUCUACCUAUUUAUUUGACUCUACGUUUAAUUUAUGGGCACCCGCGUCGUUUGCACGGGAAAGUUUCGAGAUAUAUUAUUACAUCCUAGUUCUGUUCUCUCUCCCUGGGCCACUCCCUACUAAUAAACUAUUUGGUUUGGUGAAUGUUUUGCUAACGUUAGAUCGUAUUAGGAUGGUCCAUUAAUCCGGUUCAGAUCGGGUGAGGGCCGUGAGGCACUCAAUAUAGAAAAGCAUGAUUCCUGCUUUCGUUUUAGCAUAUGGGAGGGCCAUUGUUCUAAACUUCAGCUGGCAUGUGAGAUGAACUCGAGCCGUGCUCGACAAAUUCGCGCUGCCUCUAAAGAUUCAGAGUUUGGCGCUGCAAAGCAGGAGACGGAACUCGCUGCAAUGGGCGGCGCUGGUGAGACAAGGUUGCUGCCAGCUUCGUACGGUUGGAGCUCGCGACUUUGUCUCAAAGUUUGCACAGUUGAUUUGCGCCCAUUUUACGACAAGCAGUGCAAUGGCCCAUUAGUAUUAAAAAGCAUUUGCUGGCCCAAAAUUGUGGGCCAUUGCUGCAGUGAAAACCUAUUAGGAGUUCUUACAGUAUGUUUAGCACUGCGGCACGAUGCAGAUCAUGCAGUGCGGUAGAUAAAUCGUUAUCUAAGAUGUCAAAAGCUCGACCUAUUAGAAUGGCUCUGAUGCCACUUGUGAAUCGCAAUCGCUAACCAACUAUCUCAAAAACACGUGUUGAUAGAAAAGACGCAUCCAUCGCACUUAAGAGCUCAGUCACAACGCUCGCAGGUUUCGACAUGACUCAAUUCAUCUGAAAGUUGGUCUCUUGCUAUUAGAUCUCUUGUGGACCACACAGCCACUCAAUUUAUUAGUCUUAUGGGUCUAUUGUUACGGAGUAAAAAGUUAGACCUAUUUUAACCCAACAAUAAAAAACUAACAAGAAGCACUAUAAUAAACUUGUGAUAAGCUCUAAAAUUGGAUUUUUUUUUUAUGCUUAGGGUUGAAAAGCUUGCAUCUCCUUUCUACUGCACUAGAAAGCUUCCUAGUGUUUUGAUUUCUAAUCACAAGAGCUCUUUAUGGAUAUUAAUGUAUUGCAAAUUCAUAUGAUAUUUUUAAAAUAUAUGCAUGAACCAAUCAAAAUUCUUUAUAUGAUAUCCUUUGUAAGAAUAGUAAUUGUAUGAUAUCCGUACCAUUUCUACGGAUAUUAUAAUGCUGCAGACCAUUUAGAAUGUUGGACUAGCGUAUUGCCAAUGAGUUGGCAUAUAUUAUCCGAAUGCUCUAAUUAAUUCGUACAAGAAUUUUAAAACAUCAUGCAAAUUUAUUAACACAUCGAUAACAUCCGUAACCACACAACAUAUAUAAAAGAUUUAUGUUUGAUUUAUUAUUUUAAUUUAUAAUCAAUAUGAAGUUUUUUUUUUUUUCUUUCCGAAGGAAGGAGAUUUUUAAUUGGAGAUAUGUUCGUGCAUUAUUUUGGCUAAGGGUGUAAAAGCACACUGAAAAAAAAAUUUCUGUGGAAAACAAAAACGCGCGCGCAAUGCCGGGGAGAAAAGCGCGCGGUCCACGAGGUCGAGCAGCCCUCGUGGACCGCGCAGAGAGGCGCGUGAAGAGAGAGGUCCGUAGACCCCUCUCACCUCUCUUCUCUCUCCUCUCUUUCUCUCUCUAUAUAUAUAUAUAUAUAUAUAUAUAUAUAUAUAUAUAUAAUAUAUAUAAUAUAUAUCUAGUAAAAUGUACGUGCAGCACAUAUAAUUAUUAGAAGAAGUUAUAAAUUUUUUAAAUUAUUUUUUGAUUUUAAGGCCAUAUUUUAUAUGAUUGCCAAAUAUAUAUCUAAAAAUUUAAAAUAAUAACACGCUAUUAAGAAAGAUAUGGUUUAAAUGAUAAAUAAUUAACAAUAAUCUCUAAUGCAAAAAUUACUUUUGAAAUUAAAUAGAAAAUAAAAUCUGUUAGGAAAUAAAUUUUUGAAAUUAAAUAGAAAAUAAAAUCCGUUAUCUUGAAAAGAAAAUAUAUUUUGAAAUUAAAUAGAUAAAAUCUAAAAAAUAUUUUAAAAUAAAUAAAAAAAUAUCUUUUAGGAUUUUCACACCCGUAAUCUGUUAUAGAAAACUUACUUUGAAAUUAAAUAGAAAUUUAUAUUUUAGAUUUUCACAUCAGUAAUAUGUUAUAGAGAACUUACGUAUUCAUUGCUGUUUCUAUUUCUAUUCUUAUUCUUAAUAUUUAAAAUUUUCGUAUGGAAAGAGAAAAUGGGCGCUAAUUUUUCCGCCCAAAAUGGGUCUGUCGACAGACCCAAAUUUAAAUAUACGUAUGGGUCUGUCGACAGACCAAAUUUAAAUAUAGCGUGUUUAUAUAUAUAUAUAUUAUACUAGUAAAAUGUACGUGCAAAUGCACAUAAUAUAUUAUUAGAAAAAAUUAUAAUUUUUUAAAUUAUUUUUAAUUUUAGGCCAUAUUUUAUAUGAUUUGCAAAUAUGUAUCUAAAAAAUUUAAAAUAAUAAAUCACGCUAUUAAGAAAGAUAUGCUUUAAAUGAAAAUAAUUAACAUAUCUCUAAUGCAAAAAUUACUUUUGAAAAUAAAUAGAAAAAUAAAAUAUGUUAGGAAAUAAAUUUUUGAAAUUAAAUCGAAAAAUAAAAUCCGUUAUUAUAAAAAGAAAAUAUAAUUUUGAAAUUAAAUAGAUAAUAUCUAAAAAGAUAUUUUAAAAUAAAAUGGGAAUAUAUUUUUUAUAGGAUUUUCACACCCGUAAUCUGUUAUAGAAAACUUACUUUUGAAAUUAAAUAGAAAAAUUUAUAUUUUAGGAUUUUCACAUCAGUAAUCUGUUAUAGAGAACUUAUGUAUUCAUUGCUGUUCUAUUUCUAUUUUUUUCUUAUAUUUAAAAUUUUUCGUACGGAAAGAGAAAAAUGGGGGCUAAUUUUUCCGCCGAAAAAUGGGUCUGUCGACAGACCCAAAUUGAAUAUACUGUCUUUUAUAUAUAGUAUAGAUAGUAUAAGAUAUAUAUAUAUAUAUAUAUAUAUAUAUAUAUAUAUUAUAUCCACCUCAUAUAAAUUUAUUAUAUAGAUAUAUAUAUUAUUUUUAUAUAAAUAUGCAAAUUAAUAUAAUAUUUUAUGUAAUAUUUAUUUAUUAAAUAUAUAAUAAUUAUUUUUAUAGUAUUUAAAUAUAUGUACUAUAUAUAUAUUAUAUUAUAUAUACUAUUUAUAAUGUAUUUUAAAUAUAUUUUAUAUAUUAAAUAUUAAAUUAUAAUAUUAAUAUAUGUAAUAUAUUAAUUAUUAAUAUAUUAAUAUAUUUAUAGAAUAAUAUAUAAAAUUAUAAUAUAUAAUAUAUAUAGUAUAUUAAUUAUUAUAAUAAUAAUAUAUAAUAAAAAUAUAUUAUAUAGGUUUUAAUUAUUUUUCUUUCUCUUCAACCAAACAACCAUCAUCCAAUUUUUUUUUUUUCUACAAACAAAUUACAUAAGUAAUUUUUUUUCCAAAUUUUUUUUGACGAUUUUUUUUUUUACAGUUUUACAGCAAAACCCUAAGGCCACCGUUUGGUGGGGGGUUAAGGGGCUGGAUAACCAAAAGCUUAACCCCCAAUUUAUACCAAACAAUAUCUUUUGGGGUGGGGUUAUGUAAACCCCACCCCAAGGGUUAGUGGGUGUUAUACCCUCCCUACCAACUUUAACCCCGACGCAUCGCCGAGCAUCACCUUUUUCUUCUUUAUCAAUCAUUAACCCCACUCCCCCUCCCAACUUUAACCCCGCACGCAUCCCGAGCGCUCAACUUUUUCUUCUUUAUCAAUCAUUAUCUUUUUAUCCCACCUACUUCAACCAAACACAUUUUUUUACUAUUCUAGACUAAUUCCAACCUCCAACUAAACACAAAAAAAUUUUAACACCAUUUUAACCAUGAACUUAACUCUAUUCCUAAAAUAGCUACUUUUUCUUAACUCCGAACCAAACGGGGGCUAAAGUAAGCCAAAGUUUGUCGCGACCCCAAACAUCCCAUCAAGCAGGCAUUUAUUAUUUAUUUUUAUUAUUAUUACCUUCGCUUUCCCAAAUGAUUCUUCUCUUCUUUGUUCCCAUUACACUCCUACACUCACUACACAUACUCUGAACCCUCGCCUCCUCAGAAGCCCACAAAAAAAAAAAAAAAAAAAAAAAAAANAAAAAAAAAAAAGGCAGAAGAAAAAAAAAAGAAGAAAAGGAGCCUUUGCGUUUCUCUUUGCUUUGCUCUACUGCGAAAGCGCCAUGAGUAGGAGAAGAUCCCUCAUCCUCCUCGUCUUUAUCGCCACCUCCCUCCUCGAAUCCGCAGCGGCCCCUUCUCCCACAGGUGAUUUGAGAGAUACCCGCGUCUCCUUUCUCCCGCAUUUCGCCCCUCCUCGCUUCUAAUCAAAACCCUCGCUUUUUCUCGUUUUUAUGCUCUCGUUUGAUCGCAGGAGCUAUUCUGAAGCAACUCUCCACAGUGGUCAAAUGGCCGAGAACUUCUCCGAAGAUAUCCCAAAACGGUAAUUUGCGGCACUCGUAAGCAGUAACGAGCAUUUGAGCUCUCUCUUUUUUUUUCUGUUGUUUUUGUGAUGAUUUGAUCGAAAUUUUUUAUGGUUAUUCGUGAUUUUGGAGUAAUUUGCUUAAAAGUUUGAUCUUUUUGUAGAUGGGAAUGUUCUACAGUUCGAGAAUGGGUAUUUUGUGGAGACCCUUGUGGAGGGGGACAAGCUGGGGGUGGUUCCCUACACUAUUCGGGUUUCGCCCGAGGGCGAGCUUUUUGCUGUGGACUCUGUGAACAAUAACAUUGUGCGGAUUACUCCCCCUCUCUCCCAAUGUAGGUUCUUUUAACAGCUUUUUCCCUUCUUAUAAGUGUAUUUAUUGUCCUACUUGUUUUAGUCAUUAGAGGUGAGUUUUUGGUUUUUAUUUUGUUUCUGUCCAUUGAGUAUCUGUUUUGGUGGUUUCUUUAUUGCCUGUUUCAUGGAUUAGGUAUGAGUUGUUUCCUUUACCUUUGUAUAGGUUUCUUUUUGUGAAUUAGCAUGGCUUAUGAUAACAUUGCUUAAUUGUAUGUAACCUGUUUGUUCUUUUGCCUAGGAUGCUUGCAUACCUUGUUUAGUUGUAGUAGUGUGAGAAAAAUUAAGCUUCUUCAUAACCUGCUUUAUGUUGUUUAAAGCUAUGUUCUCUUUUCGUUUACAUACUUUGAUACACUAAUAUGACAGGGUUUUGCAUAAGUAGGCCACUUUUUUUUAGCUUUUGUGACUUUGGAUCAUCUUUUCCGUUUCAUUUUGGCAACUUUAGUCUCCUUUUAAUCUUUAAAUUGGAAUGCCCUUACACUUUAAUUUAAAAAUGUAAAUCUGUCUCACAAACAAAAUGUAUGAAAGCGAGAGAAUGAAUCGAGAAUGUUUUUGUCCGGAAAAGUUGAAAGCAAGUUAAAGUUUCAACUGUGAAAAGUAAUCUUGACAUGCCAAAAUAAAAAUAUUUUAUUUUCUCCAAAAUCUCCGUACACAAUUCUGUGGACUGAUAUGGGAAUUUUUGUAGAUAGCAGAGGAAGACUGGUUGCAGGGUCAUUUCAAGGAUAUUCAGGACAUGUAGAUGGUAAACCGAGUGAUGCCCGAUUCAAGCAUCCUAAAGGUGUCACUAUGGAUGAUAAGGGGAAUGUCUAUGUCGCUGAUACUGCAAAUCUCGCCAUUCGUAAGAUCGGGGAAGCAGGUGUGCUAUUUUGAAUUAUAGAACCAAGUUUAGUUUGGUUUUGCAUUAAGUGCAAAAAAAAAAAAAAGAAGAAAAAACUCUCGUGCAGGAGUGACAACUAUUGCUGGAGGAAAAUCAAAUGUCGCGGGAUAUAGAGAUGGGCCGAGUGAGGAUGCUAAGUUCUCUACCGAUUUUGAUGUGGUAUAUAUGAGAAAAACCUGCUCUUUGUUGGUUAUCGACCGUGGAAACGCGGCUCUUCGCCAAAUCUCCCUUCAGCAAGAGGAUUGCGACUAUCAAUAUAGCUCGAUUGCUCCGUCAGGUAUGGAUCAUAUCCUUGUUCGAUAUUUCACAAUAUAUAUUUUUCAAGGACUAAUUCCCAUAUCAGCAGAUGUUCGUUGUAUUGAGUAGUAAAUUAAACGAUAUCAUUUUGCGGUACAAAACUUGAAAUUAGUGGCAUGUUGUUAUAACAAUACCAGACAACCGUAGUUUACUUUCCUGUAUACUUCAUUACAUUACUUGCUACUUAAAUCAACUAUAUGUGCCAUUCAUUGGUGGUCAAGCGUCGGUUACUAUCAAAAGAUAUCAUCCUAUCUUUGGUGCUUCUUUUCUUCAAUCUGUUUACACUGUAAACAAGUAGUUAAAUCUUUUCUACUUCCAAAAGGUAGAGCUAUUUUCUUUGUUUGCAGCAUUAAUGGAUGAAUCAAGUAAGUUGCAACCUAUAUUAAUUGAACUAGUAAGAUACUAUAUGCUUCUCAUGUUCAUCAGAGGGAGAAUUCUAUACAGUCGGAACUUGAAUGAGCAUAAAGAUUCAUCUCGGGGCAGAUGCACAAACAAGUAUUCUUUUAGUCAUGAUCUCUUAAAAAAAUUUUCUUGUCGUUAUACAUUCUGAUGAGACUUUAUAUUUGUGCCAAAAAUGAUCUCUUUGUGCUUCUUCCUGAUAGGUAUAAUUUUUUUUUUCUUGAACCUUCCUGGUUUAAAUUUUAAUGACUAAUUCAUCUGUUGUUUUACUCCUUUUGCCAGAUAUGACAAUGGUAAUUGGUGCAGUCUUGGCUGGAUAUGUAUCUUGUUUGCUGCAGCAGGGGUUUGGGCCUUCAAUUUUCCGCAAGGUGCUCUUUGACAAGUAGUUUCCAUUUUGAAUGGGAACUUGUUUUAUGCAAGUUUCUGUCUUCUUAUCAACUUUCUAUGGAUUAUAUGAGAAGUAAUUUGGAUAACUAUAUAUCCUUAACCUAAUAUAUGUCUCUGACUACUAAUAUUUAUUCACACUAACUGCUAAUAAUUCAGAAACAAGUGACUGAGGAUGAACAACGGGAGCAUAGCACCGAUGAAAAGCCUCCUCUAAUCGUCGAAAGCCUAAAAGAGGAACCGGGUGCAGGAUGGCCGUCAGUUGGAACACUUCUCACAGAUCUCUUCAAAUUUACCCUCGAAGCAAUUGGUAAUUUGCUUCUCAAUGUCAUCCCCUUCCUACGACGAAAUAAAACAAAAGCAAACCUCACCCCUCUCAAAGACCGCCUGGUCAUGCCCGAGGACAGAGAAGAAACUCCAGUAACUCAUAAGCUAAAGACCACUCCAGCUAUGUCAGAAUCUAUCCAUGCCCCUAAUACUAUCAAUGAACCUACUCCGAAGCCCCAAAAAAGUACCAAAACACCCAAAUUCAAGGAUUCCUCUCUCCCGAGCAAGCAUAGAUCCUCAAAGAGACAAGAUUUUGGGGAGUUUUAUGGUGCGUCCGGAGACACGACUCAGCUAAGUUCGAAGGGCCAGAAGGAUAGAGUGAGGCAUCGCUAUCGAGAAAAGAGUGGAGAGGUUGGUUUAGGAACAGGUGGUGGUGCGGAGCCAAAGUUGAUGAAGUCGGUGGAUUACGGUGAUCCUUCCAAGUUUGACCAUUACAACAUUAGGAGCAAAUAUGGCGGUGCAGAGGGUGCCUACAGGUACUAAGGUUGUUAGUUUAGCCACCAAUAUGAAUCUCUUUUUCAUCUUGCAUGUCAUGCUUUUUGACUGAGUGUGGAUGCAAAACUGCAUAUUAGCAAUAUCAAGACCACCAAACACUUAUUUAGUGCUAAUGCAUUGUCUCACUUUUCUUAAUCUUCAAGCAGCUGGCGAUUGCAUUGGCCUAGUAAAGAUUUUGCGUGAAUUGUUGUCUCAAUUGUCUAGUUGCUUACUUGGUUGUUUUUUUUUUAUUUUUUUAAUAUUUUUCCAGAUAUAAGCUUUCUCAAUGAGGAAGCUAGUUCUAUUGCAUGUGAUGUGUCAUUCUUAUUAACAUUUUUGACAUUAUAGUUUCCAUUUUUCAUAGUUUAUGGGUUGCUUCAAGUACAAUAUGAAUCUAACACCAAAAACGGUGCGCUUUUUUAAUCUGCUCUAUUCAAAUAACACUUUUUGAAGCCAAAUUGGCUUUGGCCUGAUCAGAUCCACGUGCAAGACCACAUACUAAUCUUGUUGAUCUGAGGUCAUGUAAGACGCGUACACUGAUUUUAAUGCAAAGCAGUGGUCUAACGCAAGAAGCCCCACAUUAUCAAACAAUUUGACUAUUGUUUUCUGAUCUGCGUCGCUAUCCUAUAGCUGUUCUUUGAGUGAUCUACGAAGAAGUUUGCAACUCAAGAGUGCUUUUUUUCUUUUUUUCCUUUCCUUUUUUUUCCUUUGUUUCUUCUGCUGAGUUUGCAUAUACUUAGAAAAUUGGAAUAAAAGAGCAAAGAAUCAUGUAAUGUCAUCUUUGGAUUGCAUAUUGUGUGCCAGAUGUAAAACAAUCGCAAGCUAUAUUCCGUGCGUGCAAAAAUUUUGUUUUAGGGAAUAUUAAACUAUAACAGGUAAGAUGUUUCGGUCACGGCAUCAUUCUUUUUUAAAACAUAAUAUUAAGUUAGAAAAAAAAAUAUAAUGUAUUAAAAUGUAGAAAUAAAAAGUAUUGAUUACAUGGAAAGCAUCUAAUACCCACACAAAGUCACUGUCGCCGGUAAUCCGUGGCACAGAAGAUUCAUGCACACCAGUAAUCUUAACCAUCUAUUCAAAAUAUGGGGAACAUAUCGACCAUUGUUAGCGAUUUCAUUAUCAAUUAAAAACCUAGUUUAGUAAUGUAAUGGCCAAAAACACAUUAUUUUUAUAUUGUAAAGUUGCGAUUGCAGUUGCAACUGUUAUCAGAAAAAACAUGUUGUGACGACUGCAACCGUAAUUUCAACAUAUUAAAGAAGAAAAAAUUGUAAACAUUUUAAGACUUUUUGAAUCUUUCCUAGUACAAACAUGAUAAUUGUGACUAUCAUAUUGUCAAAUAAGGUCUAAAUAAAUAAUUUCCUGUGCAUUAAAUCUGUGAUAAAUGAAUCGAUGAUAACGAUGGUAACCGAAAUAUUUGACGGUGGAUGGAGACACGCGGGUUUUGGUCGGCCGGUUCAAAUUGAGCAACGUACGCGCACCGUUCUAAACCUUCUGAAACUAAUUACGUAGCUUUCAAAGGGGGUAAAUUACACUUUUGAUCCCCAAACUAUUGCACGUAUGAUAUUUUAGUCCUAAAAUUUUAAUUUAUUAUUUAACAUUUUGUUCAAACUUUUUAAAUUAUUAUAAUUAAAUUUCACAACGUAAAAUUUAUAAUAAAUUAAAAUUUAAGGCGCAAAAUAUCACGCGUCUUAUAGCCCGAGGACCAAAGCGCAAAUUACCCCUUUCCAAAUUGUUCUUCUAGCCUGCAGGUUUUUGGUUAGAAAAUCGGUCGGGGUGACUCACCAGAGACGUGUCAAAUAACAUGAAUUUUAUUAUUAUUUGAAAAAGUAACGCAACGUGAAGAAAAAGGCCACUGCUUUACGGUGUCUUAGCUUGUAGUGGCAUUGCACUUAAAAUUCUCUUUAGCAAUUAAGAAUCAAGUGUUUUAAAUUUAAAUAUUUGAUUUUGGGUCACAAUAUUACAAUUUAGUUUCCUACUAGAAUUUGCUCGCUACGAUGGAUGCUGUUAAAAACAAAUAUUUCGCUUCGUUUAUUUCAUUUAGAAAUAAAUUUAGUUGGAAAUGUGAAUCAACUAGAAUUCGAAUUUAGGUCUCGGAUAUCAACUAUUAAGUUCUUUGCCACUUGCGCUAGAAACGGUCAGUCAAUAGAGACAUAUUUGAUAUGAAUGAAUUUAAGGUUUAGAUUGGAAAUCAUAAUGAUUAAUUGAGGGAUUAGCAUUUUAAUUUUUAUUCCAAGAAAAAAUGAAUUAUCCCAAAAUGAAUCUUCAUCAUGAAAAUGAGAAUUAACUUUAAUUCGGAAAGAAAUUGAGAACUAUUUUUUCAUAAAUAAUUAUUUAAAUUCAAGUAUUAGUCCAUAUUUAAUUUGAGAAUAGAUUAUACAUUUAAAAAUAAAUUUGAAGUAUGAACUUAAAAUUUAAUUUUUAAAAUUUUGAAUUUAAAUUCAAAUUCUAAUAUAAGUUUGAUAUGUUGAUGUACUUCUAAAUUUAACUUUUGACUUCAAAUUUAAAUUUUAAGUUUAAAUUACGAGUUCAAAUUUUGAUUACAAAUUCGGAGAGUAAAUUAAAUUUAACAUUUAAUUAAUUUUUUGUAUUUUAAUUUGGAUAUUAUUUUGAUUUCAAUUUCUCUUACGAACCAAAAUAAUUUUAUGAGUUUUCACCAUUUCAUUUUCAAUUUCAGCCUAUUUCUUUUUCUCUUUAUAUUUCUAUUUCUAUUGGGAUUUCGAUUUUUAUUGUGAACCUCUCUAAUUUUUUUCGAGUAUUUUGAGAUACACAUGGCAUUACACAUGAGAGGAAAUAACAGAAAACAUGGACAUAUAUAGUACGUGGAAAAAGGGAAUUGCUCGAGCAUUUGCGGUGUUCUUUGUUUUAUUCCGGAAGAUGGUGUGAUCAGAAAUUUAGAUCUAAUUAAUUUAAUCUCUCUAAUUGUUUAAAUUAGGGUUGUUGUCCAGCAUUAGCACGAUGCUAAUAAAAAAAUAAUAAUAAAUAAUACAUCAACUUAUCAACGAAUGGUCCAGUGAAAAGGACUACAAUUGAUGUUACAUUAUUGAUUUUUUAUAAACUUCUUUUAUUUUAUGUUGGCAUAAGAACUAACUGCAAUGCAGAUAUUCGAUCUCCAAGAAGAGAAGUUUUUUUUUUUUUGGUUUGUAUAUAUAUGACAUGUUAAUUUUUGUCAUAUUAGUGAGAUGAUAAUUAAAGGUGUAAUUAAUAAGAGUAAUAUAUAUUACAAAUCCAAUAUCUAAAUAACGUCUAAUAAUUUUUCUUUCUUCGUAUUUCGACGGCAAUGUUUUUAUUAUAUAUAUAUAUAUGUUAUUAUUCUUAUCGAGAAUAUUUAUUAUAGAAAAAAGGUUUCAUCUCCAAAUGGCCCUUAUCUAUAGUUAAAGCAAAAAGGAAUCGUUAUAUAUCAUCCACACCAAGUCACUAAUUUGUUCUUUUUCCCUGUUGUAGUUGCUAUGGAACCGGUCCGAGCAUGCAUGCACAAUAGCAGUAACUUAUUAAGUAGGAGUACUGAUUCAGUUGUUGGUUUAGUGGUUGAACAAACUUGUCUUUAAUAAAAAUAAUAAAUAUUUGCUACGAUUACAGAGAUAUAUAUAAAUUGUUCAUUUCAAGAUCAGUUUAAAACUUAGUUAAUUUGUACGGUUCAUUAAGAAUGCAACAGUACUAGUCAAAAGGGUUUCAUAUAAAACAUUAAAAGGUAAGUGCAACCAAGAAUAUUAAUUCUUCUGUAAAAAGAUUAUGUACAAAUACAUAUGAUAAGUAGAGUAGGGCUAGAAUACUUUUACAAGUAUCACCCAAGUGAUACUUGUGUGUUUUUAGCCCUUGGAUGGAAAGAUGUGAAGUUGAGAUGAUGGGAGUAGGUGGUGGUAGGUGGAAUAAUGUUUGAUCCAAGGGCUAUUUGUAAUCAAAAAGCAGAUCCAAUGGUUAAAAACGUGAUAGCAACAUGGGGAUGAUACUUGUAAAAGUAUCAUAGAUGAACUCUGAUAAGUAAAUUAAUAAAGUCCAAACCUUUUAGUCUAAUACUUGACGAGAUAAAUCCUUAUAAAUAAAACCUCAUGUCUGUGUCAUUUGUAUGGUUGGUCAACUUUAAACAUACACCCAAUGGCUCAGAAUCAACUCUAGGGCGGAGGUAAUUAAAUAACUGUUAAAUUAUGUGAAACAGUCGUUAUUUUUCAGAAAUUUAAGCUAUUAGAGAGUAGUAGUUUUAAAAAUUUGUAUUCCACACGUUCUCUCACAUGUAGGAGUUUCACAAAACUCAAACUCAAGAACUUCAGUUCUAAUACUAUGUUAAAUUAGGUGAAACAAUCGUUAUUCUUCAAAAUCUUAAGUUAACAGAGAAUGAUAUUUUUAAAAUUUAUAUUCAAUAAAUUUUAUUAUAUUCGAUUCAGCUCAAAUGAUAUUUUUAAUAUUUAUAUUCAACGAUACUUGAGAAUGCUCCUGCGAACUAGUGACAUAUAGAUUUACUAAAGAGAGAAAAUAAUUAAUUUCAAUGUGUGCUUAAGAGGAACUACUAUCUUCCAAGUAAAGCCAAUGCUAGAUGGAAAGAUUCUAUUGGACCAGUUCUCAACAUACACGCAUAUACAUACAAAAUAAAUAAAUAAAUAAAUAAUCAAAUAAAAAUUAUUUAUCAUAUUCGUUCACUAAUCAAGUUGCGAAGAAGUAAUUUGGUGAACCAAUUCCACUGUGUCUACCUAAUCCUUCAAAUUCUCAUCAUCUCUAAAUAAAACGAUUUUAAAUACAUGAAUACUAUUCAUUUAUGUGCUUUAAUUUUCACAUUUAGCGCACUUUACACAUGUUCGAAAUAGAAAUCUAAUUUUUAUCACAAAAUUAACAAUUUAUUCUUUACUCUUGAUAUAACACAAAAUCUACUUACAUAAUAAAUAUUAUAUGCUAUAUUUGAAAAAAAAAAAAAUUAAAACUUAUAGUUUUUUGGUGAAAAAUAUAUGAACGGAAUUGCAAUAUGUGGAUAGUGCAGGGACUACUCACACAUUUUAAGUUCAUAGAUUCGAUACUUACUUACACAUGGCACAAAUUACGUUGUUAACGAACGACCUUUAUUAAAAAAAUAAAAAAUAAAAAAUCUUGGACUAUCCCUUCUAUGUUUUUUAGAGUAAUAAAUCUUAAUUUUGCUUGGUCAAAAGAUAUAUACCUUGGGAUGGACAAAAGGAAGAGCCAAGAAUCAGAUUCCUCUUCAUUAAUUUCGAUUUUUGCCUUUAAUCCUUCUUACUAUAAAGAGUUAAAUUUCGACGUCCAAUUUUCAAAUAGUAUUUUCAUUAAAAAAACAAAAUAUUAAAAAUAAAAAAAUACUAAUUUUAAUUUCUUGUAAAAAAUAAAAAUAAAUUUAUUAAUUAUAUGAAGAUAUAUUAAAAUUUAUAUGGCUUUACCUCUCAUUUAUUUAUUUAUUUAUUAAUAAUUGACUCCUACCGACUCCUAAUGCGUUACAGCUACAGCCCACAGCCAUUCUAGUAUUCUACUAGUUCUAUUCACAGUCAAUAAAAAAAAAAGGACAAAUUUCAAAUGCCACUUCUGUAAUUUUAAAUUUUUUUAUUUUAAUAUCACGUAAUUUAAAGUGUAUCAAAUUAGUAUCACAUGAUUUUAUUUUUAUUUUUUUUGUCAGUUUUUUUGUUAAUAUUUCGUUAAAUUAUAUACAAAAAAUUUUAAAUACCCUACCUAAUUUUAUAGAAUAUUCACUUUAGUACUCUUUUAUUUUAAUUUUGUUACUGAUUUAAUAAAAAAAUUUAGUAAAAUCAAUAAUAAAAAAAUUUAAAAAAAAUUAUAUGAUACUAAAUUGAUAUACUUUGAAUCAUAUAAUACUAUAGUGAAAAAAUAUGAACUAUAAAAAUAAUAUUUAAAGUUUUUUUCAAACAUAAUAUAAAUAAAUAAAUAAAAGAAGAGAGGUCGCAGUGAAACAAGCCAAACCAAAACAAAACAAGACGUGUGCAUCGAACGACACGCCAUGCGCAGCCGUUGACUUUUAUCUUACACCAUUUCCACGUGGCCGGCGAAAUUACCACUCCACACCGUACGUUACCUACCCAAGCAUGAUUCUCCGAAAUUACCAAAUUACCCCUGCCAUUCAUUGGCUUUUGCUUUAUUAUUAUUAUUAUUAUUAUUUUUUUUUUUUUUUAAGUGCUGGUGUGAAUAAUUAUUUUGAGCAACGAGAAUAUCUAUUAACUGAGCUAUUCAGUUGUGGUUAUUUAUUUAAUCUAUAAUUCGUAUAAGAAAUUUUAAUUUAUUGUCGGGAUGUAGUAGUGAAUAUAUAGUGAUAGAAAUUUAUGAUCUAAUACUUGAUUGAGCUAGACAAUGCUGUUGUUCAAAUCGUAACAUAGAGAAAAUUUUAUUUUAUUUGUUUAAAAUAUUAGUUUUUUUAAGCUUUCUAGAUUGAGUUGGUCGCAGUAUGUAUGCAAAACAAUUUGAUUGUUUUAGUCAUUUCUCAAGAAUGUGAGCUAGAUCAUCACGUACAAUCGUGAGUGAAUAAUUAAAAAAAUAUAAUAUUUAUUUUUAUACAUAAUUUUAUAUUUUGUAUAGCACAAUUAAUUGAUUAUAAUUUUUUUUUCUGUCUGAUCUAAAAAUAUAAAAAUAUAUUAGAUUAUACUUCUACCUUAAUAUCAUUUUAUCUAUUACUUUUAUAUAGAUUGUGCUCUCAAGUUUGAUAUAAAAGUAGAAAGAACACGGACUGUUGGCCCCAGAAGUAAGUAAAGAAAACGAAGUCCUCUAAUUUUUUAAUCUGUGAAAGUAUUUUACAAAGACAUAAUUUUAUUUUGAGAAAUAGGCAGCACGCUACCCGCUUUAUUUAUUGGAUUGAUGAAUUAAGUUACAAGUGUGGGACAACCAGGCUCCGAGAGAAAAAAAAAAAUUAAUUAAAAGUAAUAUAUAUAUAUAUAUAUAUAUAUAUAUAUAUAUAUAUAUAUAUAGUUUGAUGGGAAAAAAAAAAAUGUAAACUUCGAAACCGCGUGUAUUUGGAGGGUGCCCGUACAAUUUAACCUACAUUGUUGAUUAAAACCAUUUUAAGGCCAAAUGAACUUUACCAAUAUGGUUAAUUAAACCAUAUUAAGGCCAAAUUGAGUUUAUUUGCCUACUUAAGUGCAGAGAUUACGUACCGGAAGAAGGUUCGCCCCGUGGAAAACCGCCUCUCUCUUUUUUUUGUUCUCUUCCUUAUUUUCUUCCUCGCGUUAGAAAAAUUUGCACGAGCACACACAACCAACGCGGAGGAGAUUCAGAUCCGAAAACCUAAUCGAUCGAAAAAUUCACGAACCCUUUUUUUUUUUUUUUUAAAGCGUAAACGCUGAUCGAAUCCUUCACCAAACCCUAAUCUCGACCGAGGAAGACGAAGACGAGGAGGAGGAAGAGGAGAGAAGGAGAGGGAUCGAAAUCCUAGCUCUCGCAGAUGUCGUCGCCUUUCGAUUUCCUCUCCCAUCAGCGGCGGCGAUCGCCCCUCGGCGGCGCCUACUUCGCUCCGGCGGACCUCGGCGGCGCCGCCCUUAUCGGCACCCUCUCCGCCGCCGCGCGCAGCCUCGUCGCCUCCUACUUGGCGGCGGCGGCGGCGGCGGCCCCCCCGUUGCAGAGGAGGAACGCCCGAUCCCUCGUCCGCAAGGUGAGCGUCAUGCUCGUCCUCUUCGAUUUCCUGAGCGAGUCCUACGGCGCGUCGUCCUCGUCCUCGUCCCCGUUCCCGCGCGGAUCGCCCGAUUCCGCCACGCUCUGCUUGAGGGAGCUCUACAUUUUCCUAUACCGCGCCCGGAUGCUCCUCGACUACUGCUCCCAGUCCGCGCGGCUGUGGGUCGUGGUGCGCAACAACCAGAUCUCGGGCUACUUCCGCGACCUGGACCAGGAGAUCGCCACGCUCCUCGACGUGCUCCCCCUCGGCGCCCUCCGCCUCUCCGCCGACGUGCGCGAGCAGCUCGAGCUCCUCCGGAGGCAGUGCCACGACUCCGAUCUCCGCGCCGACCCCCGCGGCGAGGAGCUCCGCCGCAGCAUCUUCUCCCUCCUCGACGAAUUCGCGCGGGGCGACGCCCCCGACCCCGACGAUCUCCGCUCGCUCUUCGUCGACCAGUUAGGGGUUCGGGACGCCGAUGCGUGCCGCAGCGAGAUCGAGUUCUUGGAGGAGCAGAUUCUUAAUUCUGAGGAGGACACCGAUUUGCCCCUCCUCGGCGGUGCCGUCGCUCUCGCCCGGUAUUGUAGGUUCCUGCUCUUCGGCUUCGGCGAGCCGAAGAUCAAGCCUUCGGGCGAUGACUCCGUGAAACUGAAGACGACGACGAGGUUGCUCAGCAGUGGCGGCGAUUCGUCCUUCGCCAUACCGAAGGACUUGUGCUGCCCGAUCUCGCUCGAUCUGAUGAGGGAUCCGGUGGUCGUCUCCACCGGUCAGACUUAUGAUCGUGCUUCGAUUAUUCAAUGGAUGGAUGAAGGCCACUACACUUGCCCUAAUUCCGGCCAGAUUCUCACGCAUACUCGCCUCGUUCCUAAUCGAGCCCUCCGCAGCUUGAUUGCUCAGUGGUGCGCCGCCUAUGGAAUACCUUACGAAUCUCACGACGGCACCGAGGGAUCAGCUGAGAGCAUCGCCGCUGCGUGCAGUAGUAAGGCCUCGAUCGAAAUGAAUAGACUGACCUCUCGGAUGUUGGUUCGCCAACUGUUCGAUGGAACGGAUGAGCUGAAAGCCAUUGCUGCGCGUGAGAUCAGAUUGCUGGCCAAGACAGGAAGGGAGAAUAGGGCUUCAAUUGCCGAAUUAGGUGCCAUCCCUCCCCUUUGCCGCUUACUCCGAUCUUCGAACUCCGUCGCGCAAGAGAACGCGGUGACCGCGCUCCUCAACUUGUCGAUAUAUGAUGUGAACAAGAGCCGAAUUAUUGAAGAGGAAGGGUGCUUGAAUCUAAUCGUCUAUGUUUUGAAGAACGGUUGGACGGUGGAGGCGAGGGAGAAUGCUGCCGCCACGCUGUUUAGUUUGUCAGUGGUUCACGAGUACAAGAAAAGGAUCGUCGAAGAGCCGGGUGCGGUAGAAUCACUGGCUAAUUUAUUAAAGGAAGGCACUACGAGAGGGAGGAAGGAUGCAGUAAUGGCUCUCUUCAAUCUUUCCACCCACCCUGAGUGCUGGGUCGGUUUGUUGGAAUUCGGGGCAGUUACUGUGUUGGCCGGGGCACUUGAAAAUGAGUUGGUGGCCGAGGAGGCGGCGGGGGCACUGGCGCUGCUAUUAAAGCAGCAGAGGGUGGCCAAGGCAGUGGUUUCCGUGGACAGGUCGGUGACAAGCCUCGUGGGACUAAUGAGGAGGGGGAGUCCAAAGGGAAAGGAGAACGCGGUGGCAGCUUUGCACGAAUUGUGCCGCCGCGGUGGGUCAAUGAUGAUUCGCAGGGUGGCGCGAAUGCCAGGGUUUUGUGGGCUGCUGCAGAACAUCUUCCUUACAGGAACAAAAAGGGCGAAGCGGAAGGCGGCAUUGCUCACUAAAAUGUGCCAGAAGUGUGAGGCACCGACAAUGAUGUUGUUAGGUAGUAGUUGGGUGAUUGACCAAACGCUAGCAAGAAAUAGUUCCUUGAGAAGGGUUUCGAGCUUUGAGAGCGGGGAAUUGACGGUUUCGACAGCCAUAUCAGUGCCGGUGCCAUAGGUCUGGUCUGUUCUGUUCUCUCAAAAUUUUUAAGCAGUAAGUAUGUCUUGAAUUCUUUGAUUUGUGCUCGGUGAAAGGGGUAUAGAAUUAUAAAUAUGAAUCCAAAUGAAUGAAUACUUUGCUAUUUUGUUGGACAUUCUGUUUUAAAUGUAUAUACAUGCACAUAAUUAGAUGUCUAAGUUGAAGUUUGGCUUGAAGUUGUUUUAAGAGUCUGUGGUAACUUUGAUAUGAAUAUAUAUAUAUAUAUAUAUAUAUAUAUAUAUAUGUAUGAGGCGGCGACUGAAUGUAUGUCAGGGAGCCUAUGUCAGGUUCUAGACAUCAUCUACUUUUCAGCAGAGACUGGUUUUUUGUUCUUUGUUUUUAUUUAUAUUGUUGAUUUCUCUCCAAAAUUUCGUUGUUUUGAUUAGACAGUAUUCUGGAUGAGGCUUGAUUAAUGUGGUUUAAGCUUACGGAUGAUUACACAAAUGUCAAUUUCACUUUCCAUGUAAAAUUUUACAUAUUGAUGUUUGGUUGUUAGGAAAAAAUCUUUCACGUGUUCUAUGAAAAUCCCAAGUUUUCAUUUUCCGCUCGCAGCGAGCGGAAAACGAAAACCAUCGCGGCUCAGGAGGCUUCUUUGUGCGCGGUCCACGAGGUGCNAGAGAGAGAGAGAGAGAGAGAGAGAGAGAGAGAGAGAGAGAGAGAGAGAGAGAGAGAGAGAGAGAGAGAGAGAGAGAGAGAGAGAGAGAGAGAGAGAGAGAGAGAGAGAGAGAGAGAGAGAGAGAGAGAGAGAGAGAGAGAGAGAGAGAGAGAGAGAGAGAGAGAGAGAGAGAGAGAGAGAGAGAGAGAGAGAGAGAGAGAGAGAGAGAGAGAGAGAGAGAGAGAGAGAGAGAGAGAGAGAGAGAGAGAGAGAGAGAGAGAGGGGAGAGUGAGGCUACUUUGCUUCUAAGUUGUUUUCGAUAUUGCGACUUUCGAAUAGUUGGUCGGCUCCGUUAAACUUGAUCUAGAGUAUUUGAAGUACCUUAAAAAAUAAAUUUUAUGAUUUUUCAAUAUCAUUUGCCUAGUGAUCGAAAGGGCUCAAAAUCAAUAAUUUUAAUGGCCGUAGUGAGCCGUUUGUAAGUUUAACGAUGUAGAAAUAUCCAAAUCACGUGAAAUUUUGAUAAAAAAUUCUUUAUACUAUAUAAAACAAGAUCAAUAUCUUUAAUCUAAAAUUUUAAUAUCAUAUUAUCACGUUUUGUAAAAUUUUUAUUUUCAGCCGUUGAUUUUGAGCCCCUUCGUUCACUAGGCAAAUAAUAUCGAAAAAUCGCAUAAUUUAUUUUUUAGGUACUUCAAAUACUCUAGAUCAAAUUUAACGGAACCGAUCUACAAUUCGAAAGUCGCAACAUCAAAAACGACCUGGAAGCACAGAAGGCUCCGUGCUUCCAGAAGCAUAAUACUCUCUCUCUCUCUCUCUCUCUCUCUCUCUCUCUCUCUCUCUAUAUAUAUAUACAUAUAUAUAUAUAUAUAAGUUGAGCUAGGAUACUUUUAGAAGCACCACCCACUUGGUGCUUCUAAGUUUCUAACCCUUGGAUCCACUCCAUAAUUACUAAUAUCCCUUGGAUCAAACACUAUUCCACCUACCACCACCUACCACCAUCAUCUCAACCUCACAUCUCUCUAUCCAAGGGCUAAAAACUUUAAAGCACCACCCACUUGGUACUUCUAAAAAUAUUCUACCUCCACUCAUAUAUAUAUAUAUAGUAUUUUAUUUUUGAUUUUAUAAAUAUAUUUAUUUUAUAAUAUUUUAUUUAUAAAUAUUAUUUAUAAAUAUCUAGUAAUUUAUUUUUUUAGUAUUAAAUAUAUAUUAUUAUAUAUUAUAUUAUAUAUUUAAUUAAUGUAUAAUAUAUUUUAAAUAUUUUUUAUAAGUAUAAAUUAUAAUAUCAAUAUAUGUAAUAUGAUCAUAAGUUGAGCUAGAAUACUCUCAAAAGCACCAAGGGGGUGGUGCUUUUGAAUUUUUAACCAUUGGAUGGAGAGAUGUAGGGUUGAGAUGAUGGUGGUAGAUGGUGGUAAGUGAAAUAGUGUUUGAUCCAAGAAGUAUUAAUAAUUAAAGAGUAGAUCCAAGGGCUAGAAACUUAGAGCGUGUUUGGUUCGAAGUCGGAAUCGGAAUCGGAAUCGAAAUAAACUGGAAUAGGAAUCGGAAUGACUCAUUAUCUAAUUCUUGGUUUAUCACCUGAAUCGGAAUCAGAAUAAAUCAUUUUCAUUGUCAGUGUUUGUUUCAGAUAAAUAUAAAAAACGUAAUCAGAUUAAUAUAUUAACUUUAUCUUUAUAAUAUAUUAAUUUAAAUGCAAACCAAAAAUUAAAUAUUAAAAUUUUACAUCAAAAUUUUGAAAUAAUAUCAAAAUUUUAAAUCUAUGUUUUUUUAAAAAAAAUUAAACUUCGAAGUUGAGUGGAUAAUUCGAAAUAUAAAACUAAAUUUCGAUUUAUUCAAAUUCAAAUUAAAAUUUAGAUUGUGAUUUUAAGUUUGAAUUUAAAUAAAUCAAAAUUUAGUUUCAUAUUUUAAAUUAUCCACUCAACUUUAAAGUUUAUUUUUUUAAAAAAAAUGGAUUUAAAAUUUUGACAUUAUUUCAAAAUUUUGAUGUAAUUUUUUAAUAUUUAAUAUUUAAUUUAAAUUUAAAUUCAUAUAUUAUAAAGAUAANUAUUAUAUAUUUAAUUAAUGUAUAAUAUAUUUUAAAUAUUUUUUAUAAGUAUAAAUUAUAAUAUCAAUAUAUGUAAUAUGAUCAUAAGUUGAGCUAGAAUACUCUCAAAAGCACCAAGGGGGUGGUGCUUUUGAAUUUUUAACCAUUGGAUGGAGAGAUGUAGGGUUGAGAUGAUGGUGGUAGAUGGUGGUAAGUGAAAUAGUGUUUGAUCCAAGAAGUAUUAAUAAUUAAAGAGUAGAUCCAAGGGCUAGAAACUUAGAGCGUGUUUGGUUCGAAGUCGGAAUCGGAAUCGGAAUCGAAAUAAACUGGAAUAGGAAUCGGAAUGACUCAUUAUCUAAUUCUUGGUUUAUCACCUGAAUCGGAAUCAGAAUAAAUCAUUUUCAUUGUCAGUGUUUGUUUCAGAUAAAUAUAAAAAACGUAAUCAGAUUAAUAUAUUAACUCUAUCUUUAUAAUAUAUUAAUUUAAAUUUAAAUUAAAUAUUAAAUAUUAAAGUUUUACAUCAAAAUUUUGAAAUGAUGUCAAAAUUUUAAAUUUAUUUUUUAAAAAAAAUUAAACUUUGAAGAGAGUGGAUAAUUCGAAAUAUAAAACUAAAUUUCGAUUUAUUCAAAUUCAAACUUAAAAUUACAAUUUAAAUUUUAAUUUGAAUCAAUAAAUUUAAUUUAAGUUUUAAAUAAAAUUUGAAUAAAACUUUAUAUAAAUUAAAAUUUAAUUUAAAUUCAAAUUCAUAAGUUAGAUUCGAAAUACUUGAUUAAAUUUUAAUUUUUAAUUCAAGUUCAAAUUAAAAUUUAAAUUUUAAAAUUAAAAUUCUAAAUUUAAACUCAUAUUUUAAUUAAAAAAAUUGAAAAAAUAAAUUUAAUCCGAAGAAAUAUCCAUUCCGUCCGGAUUCAACUUUCAAUCCGGCCUCUUAGGCCGGAUUGAAAAAAGGGGUGAUUGGAAAAUCCCCGUUCCACUCGGGAGUCGGAAUCAGAAUGGAACUCCUGCAUACCAAACACUUACAAACGGAUUAAUCCAUUCCGAUUCCGAUUCUAGGGUGAAAAAGAAGCGAACCAAACACGCCCUUAAAAGUAUCAAAAGGUUGAUGCUUUUAGAAAUAUUCCAGCUCAAUUCAUAUGAUCAUUAUUAUAUAUCAAUAAUAUAUAUAUAUAUAUAUAUAUAUAUAAUAAUUUUUAUUUAUAAAUUUUUUUUCCUUUCAACAAACAACUAAACAACCAUAACAAAAAAAUACUUCUUUUUUUUUUUUAUAAACCAAACGCUAGAGAGCGUAAAAUUUAUUUUCCUCCAAAAAAAUUUUUUCCACGAAAUUUUUUUUUUCACAGUUUUACAUCAAACCAAACAGGCCCUUAGCCUUUGCGACUUCUUCCUCGUUCACGUUUUUAGGUGUUAUCAUAUGACAAGUAGAUAUCAUGCAUUCUCAGAUCACGCUCUAUUUGAUAAUCACAGUGGAACUGUUAGCAGUUGUCGGUAUAAGUACGACCAUACAAUAUCACAAUUUCAUAAUAUUUUUGUCAUGCAAAAACAAACAUUGAGUCGCCAUGGAUAUGCUGCACGAUUUGUUAUAAUAAUAAUCAUCAUUAAGAUCUCACUGGAGAACAAGAUUAUCUCAAACAGUGUCGACUGUCGACUUACAGCAGAUUCUCUAUUUCCCGCAAGCCAAAGCUCCAACCUCUUUAUGGCAGCACCUCACACACACCCCCACAAAAUUUUCCAGUGCCGCACAUUAAUUAUGACUGCUGAAGCUAUGGAAGAUACUUCAUACAGAUACACUCAGAUUUUCCUGAAGAAGGACAAGAUGUUCCCUUGCUUGGGAUCCUUCCCGCCCGCCUUUGCUGGCUUCUUGUUACCAGCAGUCUUGCUCGGCAGAUUACUGCUCACAGCUGCCUGCCGUUUAUUAGCGGCCGUAGGCCUGAUAAUGACAGUUUGUGAAAGAUGUAAAUUAUAGUGAUAGUUCAACAAAUUGAAAGAGAGAUAUUGCUACGUAGUAGUAAAAAACAUAAGGUAAUUACUCGGUGAAAUCUGAUUUCACCUGUUUAAACUUUUUCAUUCCAAAGGACAAUUAAAGCCUUUCAAAUAUGAUGUUAUAGGUUCAGGAUGUUGAGAUGGUGCCGUCAUGAGAGAUAGAAACAAGGUAAUUUCUCCUUAAGAAAAGAAAAGGUGAACUUACGAAGUUUAGUUUAUCCAAAUGACUCAAAAUAGAGUAAAAUAAUAUGUAGCACAGCAAACAUAAUUAGACCACAAGUUGAUUAUCACAUAUACUUCUCUGUCCUGCUCCUAUCUAUUAACAUCUGAGAAAAAUUAAAUUUUUGGCAGAAAAUUUCGUAUUAAGGAUUGGUAACUGGAAAUUUAAAUGGAUUUGCUGAAUACGUUUAUAAAUUUGCUUUCUAAGAUAAGAGGCGAUACAUGUCAGCAGCAUAUAAAGAUAUCCUCAAAUUACAUAUUGCAUUUCUCAACAAGUACCUGUUCCCAGCAUUAUCGGUUGCAGUAUGCUUAUCUGUUUUCUCGCUUGGAGCUAAUUCACCCUCCCAAACAACCUCGGUUACUGAAAUAAUUCAGAUUCAUAACACCAGAAAUGUUUAGAUAGAGGCAGAAAAUAACAGAAUAGAAUGCAGAAGCUUGUUACUCCAAUAAAUGGGGCUGAACAUGUGUUACAAAACACAAACAGUUAAAUGGCCUAAGCUUCACGAGGUGGCAAGAAACGACCACCCAAAUCAAUAUGCAGGUCUAGUACCUAGAGCAAGCAACUGGUCAAACAAAAGGAUAAUUUGCUCAAGUUUCUCUUCACUCUUUCAGAUAACUAGCAGCAGUAAGAAGAAUCCAGCAUUUUGCACAGAGAUAAAGAGGAAAGCAUCUAUCACCCCAAAAAGACAAGCAAUAUAUUUAAGCACCAUACAAAAACCAGAACCAACAAAUCCAUAAAAUACUUUAUUUUAUCAUGAAGAACACAGAUAUCUACAAGCUAAAUUCAAGUUCGCACUCCAACUCAUAGUGGUCCAUGACUUGGCACAAAAAAGAACACUUCCAGUAUAGAUUUCCUGGACAUUGUUAACAAACUAUCUUUCGAUAACUGAUGCUAGACAUGAAAAAGGUAGUAUUCAGCAGACAAGUAAAAUAAAGUUCAGAUGACAGAAGAAGGGUACCUCAUACUGUUCUCUUAUACCAAAUAUCAACUAGUAAGCAAUAUCUAUAUUCUUAAACAUCCUAAAACAACAUAUUGUGGAAUGAAUGAUUCCUUAAAAAGAUACUGUUGAAUGACUGCACGCUUCAUAUAAAAUUGCUUUAAUGAAUGCUAAAUUGUAAUCACCAAUUCACCAUUGAAAUACUUAAACGAUAUCAUGCCCACACCAAAUGUAGUAUAUCAUUUUGCAUCCUAUGAGCUCAAGGUUCUUGUACGCAAUAAGAUAGAAUUACAUGCUUUUGUGGGCAGUCAUGAAAGUUCCUUGAGGGAAAUAUCCACAGUGGAAAGAAUACAGGCCUGAGCAAGGAACACCACUGACAAGCAUUCCUUAGACAAUUGAAGAGGUAAGUAUGAUAAAGUAACUGAUCAUGAAAAAAGAGUAUAAUAAAGCACCUUCUCUUCCUCGCUCAUCAAUCCGUGUCUUCAACACUUUCCUCCUCUUGGGUGAGGCAGAAGCAGCAUUGGUGGUCUGAUCUGUAUUAUUUUCAUUUGCAUUUGGUUCUGAGUUGUCACUCUGAUUCUUCAAUUUUAAGGUAAUGCCUCCAUUGCUACUAUUGCCCCCACUACUCAUGUUAGCUUUUGAUGACAAGUCUGAAUUCAGGCCCUUAACAUUCUCUUGCCUUUUCUCCAGAGUCUCUCUUUUCUGUGCUAAACUUGUUUCCUUCAGAGUCAAGUUCUCAGCAUUAGUCGAGGCAGCUGCUACAUGCUUUUUAGGAGAAUCUGGAGAUGCAAGGCUAACUACAUUUUCCUCAUCAUCAUCAUCUGAAAAAUCAAAAACAACCCUCCUCUUUCUACCACUUGCAUGAUUUGAUUCCCUCCUCAAAUUCGCAUCAUGUUCAUCAUCACUGCUAGCAGCAUUUGCUGCUUCUUUUGCACGUAUUUGAGCUUCAGCUGUCACUGAAUAUAGCAGUAGGCAAAAACAGGAAGAAAAUCAGCAAGUAUAUAACAAGCUAGCUUUAGAUUUGCAUAGAAACCACUUCAUAUUCAAUCAAAACAGAAUAGUACAAGGCAGGAUAUGGCAACACCACUUUGUUUACCAGAAACACUGGGAAUAUCAUUAGUAGUUUCUGUAGCAGAAUUUGGUGGCUUUGAUUUUGCUGAUGCACGACCCCACAGACUAGCUAGCGAUCCAGUAUUUCCUAAUGAGUCCUUCCCGUUUUGGUCUUUUUGCUUGCUAGUCAGAACAGCAACAGUUGGUUCUUUAACAGGAGGCAGCUUAUUUGCUGUGUUAAUAUUUGCUGAAGUGGCGAUAUCACUUUUGUCAGUUGACUCAUGCUUUGAACUCGAUUGUCCUGAUAGUCCUUGUUGUGGAGGUUGAACAUGAACAGUCUGGUCUUUUAGAAUACUACUAGAUUUAGAUUGCCAAGCUGCUCCUGUAGCUAUCACAGGCUUUGGUGGGGUGGGGCUGACGUGUUUCCCAUUGACAGUACGCUUGACAAAGGAAUUUGAAACACCACAAAACCUAAAUUAAGAUUCCACAGAGAUCAAUAAAGCGGAGAUGAAACUAUGAUAAAGCUAACAAUACGUUCAAUGACAUGGAGGAGUUUUUGCACAUAAGCCCUUGCCUAUUUAUUUUUAAACCCAAAAUCACAUCAUAUUCUUCCAAUGGUCAGAUUUUCAACUUGGCGACAUCACCAAAUUAGAAUUGAACCAUCAUACUUCUUUAACUAAGUUCUUUCAAGUAUUUUAUGUACAUUUCACAAAGAUUAAUCUAAAAAUCAAGAUAGACCGACCGUACACAAUAUUGGAGUGAAUUUAUGGCUGCAGGUUUUUAAAUUUCAGAAGUUUCUAGGUGUUCUGAUUUCACCUACACUUAAAAAUAAAUUCAAAGAAGGCAUAACUAGAAUGCCUAUAUCAGAAGAACAAGACCUACUUUAGGUUUAUAUACAGAAAUUUGGAAUUUCCAAUGAGAAUAUGUACGUAUGAGGGUUAUAUAUGCUAUAAGUGCAAAAUGCACAUACAUUUGUAAAUAUCAAAGUGCUAUGAAAAACCUAUUGACUAUAGGUUUUCUAUAAUAAAUAACUAAACAAGAGAGGAAUAAUUUACCUAUUAUCCCUCAAGCAAUUUUCUUCAUUCGAGGGCUCAUUAAAGAGCUCUUCUGCUUGCACAAACUCCGCACUCCAAAGCACUGCAACAUCCUUUGGGAUGCAAGCCUGGACGCUAUAAACCUGAAUUGAACAGGUAUCUUUAAAUUCCUUCCUCACAUCUGCAAGCAAAUAAAGAGUUCAAUAUCUCAGAAGAUUAUAAGUGACAUGCUAUGCUAACCCACAAUCGCAGCGCAAAACAUCAAUAAGGGUUGGAUUUCCAUUCAUGUAGCUUGACUUCCAUUUCACUUUUUAUAUACUUUUCCUCUCACUUUUGCAUCGAAGUUGCUAGGAAUUCAAAUUUUGUAUUGUUUUGUUAAACAUAUAAGAUUACACUUUUCUCUCCAUAGCUUUUGUUAAAGAGAAUCGGUGUUAUUGAACAAUAUGAAAAUGCAAUCUUUUCUAAAUACAAUAAACAAUGUCAAUUCUUAGACCAUGAACAAUGCCAAUAAGUACAAUAUAAGGAACAAUAUUAACUAGCACAGAUACUAAUAUCCAAUUUAUUUUGACUUGGCCCCAUUAGGAGCAGUACAUGUGCUCCCAAUUGCAAAUUCACCUGGCCAAAAUCCGAAGAAGCAAGUUCCAUAUAAGAGUGAAAGAAAAAAACUUGCCAAUCAAAGGUGAUAGCAAUCAACCAGUUCAAGAGGACAUCCUUCUUUUCUUUUCUUCUUAUUAUGCUUAAGGAAAAAAGAAAGCCUAUAAGGAAAUUCAAAUUAUGGAGCCACGAAUGAAGAAUGUUCUAGAAGCUAGACUAGAAAUGAGAGAUGCCUUGUGUUGAAGUUGUUCUCACAAGUUCAUAUUACCCUCAAGUUUAAGACCUGAAGCAAGCUUGACACAGUAGGUUUGAGGGUUGCUCUUUAACCAUCCAGACAAUGUGUAUAUCACUUCUAACUCUUCCCCAUGUUUCUUAACGAAUUCCUGAAGCAGCCUGAAAGCAAUGACUGAGGAAAUUACUGACCAUAUUACAUACAACAACAUCUAGAGUGUGAAAAAUAAAAAAAAUGUGUACCCCUUGGCGCAAUUUGAGGAAAUUGAAAAGUUGCGACUGAGCCACUUAUACGUAAUCUGCAACAUAAUGGCGAAAGCUUAGAGCAAAACACAGGAAAUCAAAUCAAAUUCACUGGUUACUGAAGGCAAAUAGAUAACAUCUACAGCAUUAAGGAAAGAUCGAGGAGCCAAGGUCUUCACAUUAAUUGCCUACAGGCGUCCACCGCAAGAAGAAUAAAAAGUGAAGUCACAGUAAUAACAACAGAAAGUCACACAGUAUACAAGUAAGGAGUGAAAGACAUUAUAAGGUUCUUUCCUGAUCACAGGAUAUUAAAACAUGCAAAAUUUCUCCUUUCAACUUGAAAACAUGUCGUUCAACCAACCAGAUUCCGCUUGCCAGCUGAAUUGACAAUAAUAAGCCGUUCGAAGGCAAAGAAACCUUAACAGAAAUCUAAAAUUUUGGAAUAAAGAACAAUUACGAAGAACAAUGCUGCGAAUCCAAUUCUCAUACUAGCAAGUCAUCACGAACACGAUUCCCAUCUCACUCCCCAAACAGAAUCCUAAUAUUCCAUUUUAGAAUCACUUCAAUAUCCCUAAAAUUGCAUGAAUCAAACCCUAAUUCUUCAAAUACACAUUCCUAUGCAUAGGAUUAUACACAAGAAUAGGACCAUAAAUCAUAGAAUACGAAUCAAAAUCAAGGAAAUAUCAACUAGAAACCUCCUGUAACAGGGAUCAACUCACCACUUGGAGUCGAUCGGAGGCGAGGGAGAGGAUCUGGGGUAGAAGAUCGAGAUCUACACCUUCCGCCAUGGAUUAGGGCAACAAAGGUCGGGAUCUGAGCCCCGAUCGAAGAGAGGAGGGCGGGGCGCGGGAAAGAUGGGGAGAAAUUUCGAGCGGAGAGGGCUUCGUUUCCCGCCUUUUUCUUCGGUGCCCUUAGCCUUUUUUGCUGGGGCCUUUUAUGGUGGCGUUCUCGCACGAGUGCGAGGGUAUCGUCGCUUCGAUCGAGGGGGGCGAGGGGCGUCCUAAGAGCACGCACGAAUAUCGGCACGGUGCGUGCGAGUCCGAAACGUGUGGCGUACUACGUGGACUUGGGCUAGCUCGUUGGUGCAUGUGGGCCGGAGGGAGGCCCAAUAAGUAGGAUAAGCCCAUGUAAAUUUAUUUUUCUCAGGAAAAAAAAAAAAACAAUUCAUUUAUAACUUCAAAAUCUCUAGGGCCUGUUUGGAUUUCCUUCCCUUUCUUCUUUUUUGAAUCUUGGGCAUAUUUGGAUUUUAGAUUUUAGAUUUGUGGAUAUCUGCAUAUUUUUGUAAGUUCUUAUUUGUAAGGAAAAUAAGCGAGCCAAUUAAUUCCUCCGAGCCGAUCAUUAGCAACAAAAACUUGAGAUAUGAAUCAGAAAAUAUGGAGUUGACAAGUCAUCUCGAAAUACAUCUUUACCAACAUAUUGUACAUCAUCGUUUCUGUUUUAUCAGGUGCUCUCCCUACAAUAACUUCCAUUAUAUCCCUUAACGGGGCAAUGGAAAGAUGUGACUUCAUCGCCUUGUUCAUUGUUCAAAUUUUACACCUAAAAAUGUUUUAACACAAGACAUGUUUGAUUUUGACCCUAUUUUAAACUCCGCUCGGCAUAUAAAUCAUACAAAUUCAGAAUGAGAAUUUGAACUAAUCAAUUUAAUCAAAACCUAGAACCGAGAGGGUGCAGUACAAUUUUCUUUUAUUUUUCUUUUUGGAUAAAGUUGUGCUGCCUCAGCCCUAUAAGUUCCAUUAAAGGUUAUAAGAAUUUGCAGAGGUGGCUAAUAGCUGAGCCUAGUAGUAUGUAUUAAAGCUGGAGUAUAGAUACAAAUCAAAAGCGGUUACAUUACAUCGUGCAUUAUAUAUGAACGCCACGAAACAACAAUUACGAGACCAUACAGAUCAGGUUGUCACCUAGGUCCUGAUAAAACUGAUGCAGAAGGCACAAACAAAGAAUCCAAAGUAUCAUCUUUGCUAGACAUUGCUGUACUAGUAGCUACGAAAUUGUAUGCAAGACUAGUUUCUACACCCACCGUGCCUUCCAAAACCCUCACUACUGUAGACAUCGGAGGCCUUACGCUACUAUCGAUUUGCAGGCACCACAUCGCAAGCUUGAUCAUUUCAAUCACUUCUCCCUCAUUCAAUUUUAUAUCGUCGUCGUAACAAUCGACUACAUCUAGCAACCGAUUGGCUUUAACUUUCUCUUGCAAUAAGCUAAUCAGAUGAACACUCUCUUCGGGCUGAGAGUAAUCCAAGUUCUUUCUCCCGCACACAAUCUCCAUUAUAACAACACCAAAGCUAUAGAUAUCAACCUUUUCUGUUAUUUUCAAAGUCAACCAUUCUGGCGCUAAGUACCCCGGCGUGCCUCUUAUUCGAGUCAUUACUUGGCUUUGAUCUCUAUCUAUGAGUUUCGAUAGUCCAAAAUCGGAAACCUUAGCAUUGAGCUUUUUGUCUAAGAGAAUAUUUUGCGGCUUGAUGUCUAAGUGGGCAAUCUUUUGCCUGCACUCUUCGUGAAGAUACGAAAGACCCCUUGCUAUGUCUAAGAUAAUUUUCCGCCGCGUAUGCCAAUCAAGAACGGGAGUUCGAUUCGCACUAAAGAUCCAUUUAUCAAGCGAGCCGUUGCACAUGAAUUCGUAAACAAGAAGCCUAUGCGUUCGCUCCACGCAGAAUCCAACCAGUUUUACAAGAUUAAGGUGGUGAAUACUACCGAUCGUCUCGACCUCAGCUAAAAAUUCUUUCUUUCCUUGACCGAUCCAAUCCAAACGCUUCACGGCAAUCUUUUCGUCGCCUAUUUUCCCCUCAAAAACCGACCCAAAUCCUCCUUCUCCGAGCUUCUUGGAGAAGUUCCCUGUAGCCUCUUUCAAUUCUUUGUAUGAAAACCGUUUCGGCAUUCCUGGGACUAGAUCGAAAAGUUCCCCAUCCUCUUCCGCUCUCUUCCAUCUCCUUACCCCAAACACAAUUACAAUGAUAACAAACGCUAAGGAAACUCCAACUCCUAGAAUAACAACUACUGGAACUCCUGCAUCAAUGUCCUUCGUAAUUGGAGGCGGGCUUUUCGCAGGAGCAGAAGCAGGGGAUAAGGGGAUUCUCUGCACCUUAACAUGCGCAGAAGAACUGUAAUAACUUAUCGCCAGUUGAUUCGUCUGCAACGAGAAAAUCUCCGAGGGCAAGAAGCAGUUCCCAUCAGAAGCAUUUCCCCCACCGAACUGAAAAAACGCGGCUUUACACGAACAAUUCCUCAAACAAGCCGUCCUGCAACUCUCUUCACUGAUACUCCGAAACGCGGUCGCAUCGGUGUCGAUGUAAUUGAAAUAAGAGACAUUAUUGAGAGUUAACAAAUCAUGAUCAUGUGAAAAUUCACAAGAUAAAGGAGUCAACGGCUCACAACCGAGCUUAGCUUCCCGGUCGUUGACUUGCCGGAAAUAGUCCGUCGAAGGGCAGCUGCAUUGUUUACCCUUCGUGCAAACGCCGUAAUCGCCGCACACCGUCGGAUACGCGCAGUCGUCAGGGUACACUUCGAGCAGGUCCUUCACCAUCCUCCACCCGGCGGCGCUCCAGUCGUAGAGCCUCAAGUGCCCGUCGGACUCGAAUCUCAUGUACUGAGCCGACUCCGCCGGGGUUAGCGGAAUCGUUAUGUCGGGCUUGCCGGGUUGCUUGAAGGAAACAAAGACUGAUAGGCUGCCGUUCGUGAAGGUAACAUACGUCGGCUUGCUCCCGGCUUUCACUGUGGUGAUGCCUUUCCGGUAGUAGAGCUGCGGCGGAUCGGAGUCGACGUAGGCGCGGAGACCGUCGGGGAAGACGGUGAGGUAGAAUCUGCUUCUGGUGUAAUUCGCGGCGGAGACGUCGGCAGUGAGUCGCAUCCCUUCGGAAAGUGACUGGCCGAUGACGAGCGUGUCGGUGGGGUGGUCGAAGGACUGCCAGACGGAAGCGUUGGCGCGAUCAAAGAGCAGUAAGUUUCCCGCUUCCGUGAGGUUUAGACCCGCCGCGUGUUUGUUCGACGUGUUCGUGGACCACACGAGGGUGUCAUCGACGUCGCGGAGAACUAAGUCGCCGGUUUCGGUGAGCUGGAGCGUGGCGUUGUCGCCGACGGGGCGGUCGCGGUUGGCUGUCCAGACGACCUGCGGGGAUGCGAUAGCAGAGUUGGUGAUAAAGCUGCCGUCAUGGCUGUGCACGAUGAAUAUGGAGAAGACGAAUGCGUCGCAAGAGGCGACGCGGAAGAAGCCGCAGGCGAAGGAUGGGCCGAAUCCGGAGGGGUCGAUGCGGAGAAGGAUGGCGCGGACGGAGGCGCCGUCGGGGAAGGCGACGCUUUGGCGGAGGAUGGAAGGGUUGUUGGUCCACACGGUGGAGAGGCCGGCGGUGGGGUAGUCGCAGGGAUUGGCAUGCGGGCGGAGAAAGCUGAGGAGAAAGCAGGAGGCGAUCGCAAGGAGGGAGAGGCAGCGGCGCCGGAGAAGCCUCAUGGUAGUUCUCAACUGGUGGGGAAAAUGGAGCAACGAUCGAGCUGAUCUGUAAAACGGUUAUUACCUGUUCUAGCUCGGUGAUUUAUACAGUUUUUUUUUUUUUUUUUUUUUUUUUUGACAUUACUCUACAGCAGCUAUUGAUUCAUCAUUAUAUAUUUUAGGGUACAGUUCAAAUAUUAUUUAUGUAGUUUUAUAUUUUUCUUAAUUUAGUACAAUAUGAUUUAAAGUGUAUCAAGUUAGUAUUUUUUUUUUCAGCUUCUCCGUUAAUAUUUUAUUAAAUUAUAUACAAAAAUCUUGAGAUACUCUAUUUAGAUUUAUCGAAUAUUCAUUGUAGUACCAUUUAGUUUUAAUAUUAUUACUGAUUUAAUAAAAAAAAUUAAUAAAAUUAAUAAUAAAAAAUAAAAUUAUAAUUAUAAUUAUAAAAUAUUAAAUUGAUACACUUUAAAUUAAAUUAUAGAAUACUAAAAUAAAAAAAUAUAAAAUCACGUAGAUAGUACUUAAAAUUUUUUUAUAUUUUUGUUUUUUUUUGUUUUUUUUUUUUUUUGAGAAUGAGGUAGCAAGCUACCCGCUUCAUUCAUCAAGCGAAAUGAACUAGGCUUACAUAUUGGAAGCAGCCAGGGCCUCCUAAAAAAAGCAAAAAAGAAGAAGGAAAAGGAGAAGAAAGGAAACAAGAGCGAAUGUAGAAAGUAUAGGUCGAACAAGUGAGACUUUAAAAUAUAGAAGUCCAAGCAAUCAUCAAGUUAGAUACGCGCUCAAGAGCCCUGGUAGCAUUAGGGAGGUACUCACGGAAAAUAGUGUCGUUGCGUUCCGUCCAGAUGACCCACCAGAUUGCCGCCAAGUAGGUUAGACGUUGCAUUCUGAUUGUAGCGUCCGGAGUAUUAGAGGUACGUGUGAAAGAUACAGUGAAAUGGACUGUAAAUAAUAAGAUAAUAUGCGUGGUGAUGUACUGAUUUUUCUGUGCAAGCAAUAGUCUCCGUUGGGGUUGUAUGAUACUAUGAUGUACGGGGCAGGUAAAAUGAGGAAAAAGUCUAAACAGCGACGGACCCGGUCUUAGAUGAUCAAGUUCUGAUGUGUGGCAGACCCGGUCUACGUUGAAUAAAUAUAUUACUUAUUUAUAUCUCUCUCAUUACUCCCUUUUCAUUUUCGCCGGUCAUUUCUUACUGGGUAUGUUACAUUUUUUAUCCUCUAACUAUGGCUCACGGGACAUUUUGAUCAUCAAGCUUUAACUUAUUUUAAUUUAUAAUUUUAAAUUUUAAUUAUUAUAAUAAAAUUUUAUGAUAUAAUUUAGUUGGAUAAAUAUUAAUAAAUUAUUAACAUAUAAAUGAUGUGUAAAAAAUAGAAUCAAUAAUACGAUAGUUAAAAAAAUAUUAUAUUACUUCUACAUUAAUAAUUUAUUAAUAUUUAACCAAUCAUAUUAGCUUGCGAGACUUUAUUAUAAUAAUUUAAAUUUUUAAAUCACAAAUUACAAUAAAUUAGUUUGAAAACAAAAAUGUUAGGUGUCUUGUAGUUUAAGGAUGGAAAGCAUAAUUUAGCUUUUUCUUUAUCAAUAUUAUUCACUACACUAGAAAAUGAAGGUAAAUCAUACAUCUUAUCCCAUCAACAGGUGAAGUUUUUGAGUGAGUCAUACAUCNUAUAAUAAUUUAAAUUUUUAAAUCACAAAUUACAAUAAAUUAGUUUGAAAACAAAAAUGUUAGGUGUCUUGUAGUUUAAGGAUGGAAAGCAUAAUUUAGCUUUUUCUUUAUCAAUAUUAUUCACUACACUAGAAAAUGAAGGUAAAUCAUACAUCUUAUCCCAUCAACAGGUGAAGUUUUUGAGUGAGUCAUACAUCUUAUCCCAUCAACAGGUGAAGUUUUUCGGUGAGGAGUACAAGUAUCAAUUUUGUGAUAUUUGUAUAGUUUUUUAUUUUAAUUUCUAUUUGUCUUUUUUAUUUUGGUUGCCUUUUAUGUUUUCUAAGACCGCGUUGUCUCAAGCACUAUAGCUAAAUUUAUCUGAUAAAUAAAUAAAGUGGGUAGCAUGCUAUUUUUCUCUUAAAAAAAAAAAAAAAGUGAAGUUUUUCUAUUCAUUAUCUCAAUAUAGCGGAAAAAAUCAUUCUACUCAUAAAAUGGAUAUAUGAUAUAUACCUCAAAAGAAAUGUACGGUUAAACUAUAUAUGGUCAUAUUUUUAAUUUUAAUUUGUUAUUUUAGUCAAGUUUUGCCACUAAAAAUAUUAUUGACUUUAAUGAAAAUUAUUUCGUCAGUAUAUUUGCUGUAUUAUUGGCCCAAUCAUUACCAAAUCUUAGUAUACAGAUAGUUUUUAUUAUAUUUAACAAAAAAUUGAGCAAUAAAAUUUAAUUUAAAUACAUAGUAAACUUAAAAUUUUAAUUAUAUAGGAUAAAAAGUUGCCGGCUAGUGGUGCGAUUAACUGUAGCUUGCUGCCGCAUUUUGUUGGCAUAAAAGCAUCAUGUGGAGGACCCACGUCCAAAAUUUUAUUAAAGAAAUUUAAAUCAGAAAAGAGUUAAUUAGAUAUAUAUGCUUUAUGAAACAUAAAGAUUAGCAUUAAAAAAAUAGUGCGCAGUUUUUUUAUAAAUCGAAUAUCAUUUGUUUCUAUAUUGCAAACUUGUUGUAUUGUUUGUCAUUUAAACAUCAAUCACUCCUCAUUUGAGUUAAACAACUCAGGCGUGAUCAACUGUCCUUAGAGCAAGUGGCAAAAAAUUUAAUGGUUGGUAUCCGAGACCCAAGUUCGAAUCUUAGUUGAUUCAUAUUUUCAGCUAAAUUUAUUUCUAAAUUAAAUAAACAAAACGAAUAACGUACUACCUAUCUUUCAAAAAAAAAAAAAAAAAAAAACAACUCAGGCAUGGACAUGUUUGACUUUUCAGAUACAUGAUGAUUUGAAGAUAACGAUUUCUUUUUGGUCCCGUACUCAGAAAAAAUAAAAAAAAAAAAAAAAAAAAAAAGGAAAAAAGAAAUUCCUUGUCCUACGUUGCUAACAUCAUUCGAUGUCAAACCUCGUUCCAAUGUUCGUCAUGCGGCACGCGGUUUUGUUAAUUAGAUCUCUUACGUGGCAGCUAAGGCAGAUUUGCAAAUUUUAACCAUUAUUUUUUUUUUGUCUAUUUUUUUAAAGAGAAUAAAAAUAACAUAUUAUUCAUUUCGUUUAUUUUUUAAAAAAUAAAUUUUAGUUAAAAAUAUAAAACAAUUAGACUUUAAACUUUGAACCCGAUCAAUACCAACAACUAAACUCUUUGCCAUUUGUGCUAAGGACGCUUGGUUUUUUUUUUUUUUUUCUACUAGUUGAAUAUUAAAGCAUUAAUGAAUCGAAGAGUCCGACUAAUUUGGUACUUUCGGAAGUACCAUUCAUGUGGUGCUUUGAAUUUUUUAACCCUGAAAUUAAUAUUUUGAUUAUUUCUAGUUCUUUGGUUAAUACUAUAAUUUUGAAAAAACUAUAUACUAAUCUCUAGAAAGGAAACACUAUCAUCUCAACUCUAUAAUUUUUAAUAUAAUAAUUAAAAAAUCGAAAGUAUCAAUUUAUUUAUUUUUUCAAAAAUAUAAUAACUCUACACUUGAAUUCAAUGUACUUAGGUAUCUAUAUUCUAUUGUAAUCUUUGUGAGUCUGAGGACCAGGCCGGCUAUUUUUUAUUUUGUCAAAAAGUUUCUUAACCAUCCAUUUUUUUUUAUUUGAGGGUAUUUAGGACAUUUCACUCAUCCACCCAUCCUAACACCACAUCAUUUAUUUUUCUUACCCUCUAAUCAUUUCAUUCAUUUAUUAUUCCUACUACUUAGUCGCACAGACCUAAAUUUUAAAAUAUCUUCCUACUAUAUAGUUGGUUUUUAAAACUUUCAAAAUUAAUAUUUUUAUAGCUAAAUUUUUAAAUUUCUUACUUACGUAGUUAGCUUCUCAUCAAUGUUUGGCGCAUCUUCAAAUUUCCUCCUUGUUAAGCAAUAAUAAUAUGCUUUAUCUCGGAAUAAAUCGAAAAUAAUCAAUAAAUUGAAGCAUGAAUCAGAAAAAUAUGAAGUUAGAACUGCACCUCAUAAUACACCUCCGUCGAUAUCGUACAUCACCUUCUUCUGUUUCCUACUGUUUCUCUCCCUACAAUUAUUAACUUCCGUUAUAUAUGUUAAAUAUAAAAAUGUUUAAACACCGUUCUCUAACCGUUUAAGCUUUUAGAGUACAACGGUUGUUUCACAUGGUAUCAGAGCAGGAGGUCCUGAGUUCGAGUCACGUCAGACUUCUAGCAUAUUAAUUUCCUCUCAUUUAAUUCAAGUCCACGUUAUGGGCCGAUUAAAAAGUCUCGAGCCCAGACGUGAGGGGGAGUAUUAAAUAUAAAAAUGUUUAAACACCGUUCUCUAACAGUUUAAGUUUUUAGAGUACAACGGUUGUUUCACAAUAUCCCCAAACAGGCAAUAUGUGGAAAGAUGUUUGAUUUCGAUUUUAUUUUUAUCCAAUCAAUGACAAGCAGUGACAAAAGGAAAAUUGAUUUCGUCUUAACUCAGCUCAGCAUAUAAGUCAUACAAAUUCAGAUUGAGAAAUAAAAUCAAAACCUAUAUAGUACAAUUAGCUUGGAAAAUUGAACAUAGCCUAUAGAACAAUUUCUUGUGCAUUAAAUGUAAAUGAUAUGGAACCGCAAUUGCAAGCUCACAUAAAUUAUUUUUUCACCUAGGUCCUGAUAAAACUGAUGCAGAAGGAACAAACAAAGAGUGUAGACGAUCAUCUCCGCUAGACGUUACUGUACUAGUAGCUACAAAAUCGUAUUUAAGACUAGUUUCCACACCGGUCGCUCCUUCCAGAACCUUCACUACUGUAGACAUUGGAGGCCUUCUACUACUAUCGAUCUGCAGGCACCACAUCGCAAGUUUCAUCAUUUCGAUAACUUCAUCUUCAGGCCACUUUAUAUCUUCGUUGGAACAAUCGACUAUAUCUAACAACCGACCGGCUUUAGCUUUCUCUUGCAACAAGCUAAUUAGAUGUAUACUCUCUUCAGGCUGAGAGUAAUCCAAGUUCUUUCUCCCACACAAAAUCUCCAUUACAACAAUACCAAAGCUAUAGAUGUCGACCUUUUCUGUGAUCUUCGAAGUCAACCAUUCCGGUGCUAAGUACCCGGGUGUGCCUCUCAUUCGAGUCAUUACCUGGCUUUGAUCUCUGUCGAUUAGCUUCGCUAAUCCAAAAUCAGAUACUUUAGCAUUGAGAUUUUCGUUCAAGAGGAUAUUUUGCGGCUUGAUGUCUAAGUGAGCAAUCUUUUGCCUACACUCUUCGUGGAGAUACGAAAGACCCCUUGCUAUGUCUAAGAUAAUUUUGCGCCGAGUAUGCCAAUCAAGAAGGGAGAUUCGAUCCGCAUUGAAGAUCCAUUUAUCAAGCGAGCCGUUGCACAUGAAUUCGUAAACAAGAAGCCUAUGCGUUUUCUCAGCACAAAAUCCAACCAUCUUUGCUAGGUUAAUGUGGUGAAUGCUACCAAUAGUCUCAACCUCGGCUAAAAAUUCUUUCUUCCCUUGGCCUAUCCCAUCCAAACGCUUCACGGCGAUCUUUUCGUCGCCAAUUUUCCCCUCGAAAACCGACCCAAAUCCCCCCUCUCCGAGCUUCCUAGAGAAGUUCUCAGUAGCCUCUUUCAAUUCCUUGUAUGAGAACCGCUUUGGCAUUCCCGGGACUCGAUCCAAAAGUUCCUCCUCGUCCCCUUCCUCUUUAUUGCAUCUCCUUAGCCCGAGCACAAUUGCAAUGAUAAUUAACACUAUGAAAACUCCAGGUAGCACGAUACCCAGCACAAUUCCUGUUUUAGACUGCUUCUUAGUAAAAUCCGGGCUUUUUGAAGGGGCAGAAGCAGGGGGUGAGGGGAUUCUCUGCACCUUAACGUAUGCAGAAGAACUGUAAUGACUUAUCGCCGGCUGAUUCGUCUGCAUCGAGAAAAUCUCCGACGGCAAGAAGCAGCUACCAUGAGAAGUAUUUCCCCCACCGAACUGAAAAAACGCGGCUUUGCACGAACAAUUCUUCAAACAAGCCGUCCUGCAACUCUCUUCGCUGACCAUACUCUGAAACGCGGCCGCAUCGGGGUCGACAUAAUUGAAGUAAGAGACGUUAGUGAGAGGCAACAAUUCAUGAUCAUAUGAAAAUUCACAAGAUAAAGGAGUCAACGGCUCGCAACCGAGAUUAGCUUCCCGGUCGUUGACUUGCCGGAAAUAGUCAGUCGAAGGGCAGCUGCAUUGUCCGCCAUCCGUGCAAAUGCCGUAAUCACCGCACACCGUCGGAUAAGCGCAGUUGUCGGGGUACACAUCGAGCACGUCCUGCACCGCCCUCCACCCAGCGAUGCUAUUAUCGUAGAGCCUCAAGUGCCCGUCAGAAUCGAACCUCAUGUACUGAGCCAGGUUCGCCGGGGGUAGCGAGAUCGACGUGUUGGGCACGCCUGGUUGUGUGAAGGGAACAAAGACCGACAGGCUACCGUUGGUGAAGGUGACGGACGCCGACUUGUUCACGGCUUUCGCUCCGGUGAUGCCGUACUCGUAGUAGAGCUGCGGGGGAUCGGAGUCGACGUAGGCGCGGAAACCGUCGCGGAAGACGGCGAGGUAGAGUCUGUUUUCGGUGAAAUUCGUGGCGGAGACGUUGGCAGUGAGGCGCAUCCCUUCGGAAAGUGACUGGCCGAUGACGAGCGUGUCGGUGGGGUGGUCGAAGGACUGCCAGACAGGGCCGUUGGCGCGAUCGAAGAGCAGCAAGUUUCCGGCUUCCGUGAGGUUAAGACCUGUAACGCGUUCGUUCGACGUGUUCGUGGACCAUACGAGGGAGUUGUCGACGUCGCGGAGAAUCAAGUCGCCGGCUUGGGUGAGCUGGAGCGUGGCGUUCUCGCGGACGGGGCGGGCGCGGUUGGCGGACCAGACGACCUGCGGGGCAGCAUUGGGGGGGUUGCUGAGGAAGCCGCCGCUGUCGGUGUCGACGAUGAAUACGGAGAAGAGGAAGGCGUCGCAAGGGGCGACGCAGAAGAAGCCGCAGGCGAAGGAUGGGCUGUAUCCGGAGGGUUCCAUGCGGAGAAGGAUGGUGCGGACGGAGGAGCCGUCGGCGUAGGUGAAGUAGUCGCGGAGGGCGGAGGGGUUGUUGGUCCACACGGUGGAGAGGUUGGCGGUCGGAUAGUCGUAGGGAUUGGCGUGUGCGCGGAGAAAGCUGAGGAGAAAGCAGGAGGCAAUCUCGAGGAGGAAGAGGCAACGGCGCCGGAGAAGCCACAUGGUGGUGGUGGUGGUGGUGGUGGAUUAGUGGGUGGGGUGGAAAAUUCAAGAUCCAUGAGCCGAUCUAUACAUUGCUUUAUUAGAAUAUUCACACUAGCUAGAAUGGUCAUUGCCUGCUCUCGGUGCAUUCACGCGCACAUAUCUGGUAUCAAUCUUCUGCUCUACACCAGCUACUUGUUUCAUCGUAUACUUUAGAAAAAAAAUUCAAUGAUUUUACACUUACUAACUUUAUUAUCUUGUGGUUUAAAAGUGUAUCAAUUUAGUACUCUGUGAUUUCAAUUUUAUUUUUUAUCAUCGAUUCUACUAAUUUUUUUUAUUAAAUCAGUGGCAGAGUUAAAACUAAAUGAUACUGAAGUAAAUAUUCGAUAAAUUUAGGUAGGUAUCUGAAGUUUUUUUGUAUAUAAUUUAAUAAAAUAUUAAUGAAAAAAUGAUGAAAAGAUAAAAAUAAAACUACAAAUACUAAUUUGAUAUACUUUAAAUUAUAGAAUAUUAAAAUAAGAAAAGCGUGACAUGAGUGAUAUUUGAAAAUUACCCUAUAUUUUAAUUUCAUCUAAAAUAUAAAGUAAGAUAAAUAAAAAAUAUGAAAUAAAUAAUGGACCCGAUGUAGGCAUAUAUGUCGUCGGUGGUGUGCUGGAUGNUAAUCCUAUCCUGUAGUUUUUUUUUUUGUGUGAAUUUUAGUAAUAACAAAAAUGAAAUUAAUAAGAUUAGUGAAAAAAAAAUAUGAGUCGGUCAAUAAGAGAGUUAUAGGAUUAGAAACAAAAAGUUGAUUAUAAAAGGAACUGUUUCGUUCCAUUUCUCUUACUUCUCACUGUCUUUUUUGGGAUCGCAAGCGGUGGGCGUAAAUGGUCCGGAGCAGAGAAAUUGUGACCGUACUUUUAGUAAAUUACACUUUUAGUUCUCAAAUUAUGAGAUACUGAUUAUUUUACUAGUAAAAUUUAAUUCAUUAUAAUUUUUAGCUUAAAUUUUUUAAAAUUAUACAGACCGUUCCUAACGUAAAUGACAAAAGAUUUGAUGGUUGAUACCCGGUGUUUAGUUUGAAUACUAAUUGAUUUAUAUUUCUAGCUAAGUUUAUUCUUAAAUGAAAUAAACGAAUCGGAUAGCAUCCUAUCUAUCUCUUAAAAAAAACAAUUCUGAAUUAUUAUAGUGAAGCAGUCUCACAGUUUAAAUUAAUUUAUUUACUAAAUAUCGAUACGUUUUAAGUCUGAUAGUGAUAUUGUAUCUUAAUUACUAUCAAUCAUCAACCAUAACACUAUUACAUACUUAAUUGGACCAUAAGUUUGAUUGCAUUAAAAUAAAAAAAUUUAAGUAAAAAAUAAUAAAUAAAUUAAAGUUUGAGCACUACCAUCUCACACGCUUUGAAAACCAAAAAUGUUGUCUAGUCAAAAAAACCAUUUGCACUGAUCUUGUUUGCUAGUUAUCCCUAGGGAUUGUGGGAUUGAUUGUUGGAUAUGCAGCCCAUAUUCAUCAACUAUCAAUUGGGAAGAUUACAAAAAAAUUUUCAUGGCAAAUUUCAUCACUUUUUCUCAAUAUUGAAUGAGAAAAAUUUUAAAAAUUUCAAAAUUUUUAAAACAUUUUAAGAUAUAAAAUUUCAAAUUAAGCCUAAAUCCUUAGACCCAAAUUUAAAUACAUAAGAAGGCUUAAUCCCCUGGGCUUAUAAAAAAAAAAAAAAAGAAGAUCAAUUCUGUUUCUUCCAUGCGGUUAAGUGAACUAUUUUACAACCACCAACUUUUAUUCAUUUUUUUUAUUGUGAUAUUUAUUUUUUUGAGAGAUAGGUAGCAAUAUACCCACUUCGUUUACUUCAUUUAGAAAUAAAUUUAGCUGAAAAUGUGAAUCAAUUAGGAUUUGAACUUGAGACUUUUAGAUACCAACUACCAAGUUCCUUACCGCUUGCGUUAGAAACGGUUAGUAAAAUAUGAUUUUUAGGAAUAAAUUACAGUUUUGGUCCUCCAAGUAGAUGGUACGUCAUAUUUAAUCUUCAAACCUUAAUUUACCAUACUUUUUUACCUCGAUUUUUUAUAUUGUUAUAAUCAAAUUCCACAAUAUAGUUUAACGUAUAAAUCAUACAAAAGCAAAUUGAGAAACUGGACACAUUAAUUGAAUCAAAACCUCUAUGGUACAAUUAGCUUGGAAAAUACUGCUUGGCCUAUAGAACAAUUUCUUGUGCAUUAAAUGUAAAUGCUAUGGAACCGCAAUUGCAGGCUCACAUAAAUUAUUUUAUUCACCUAGGUUCUGAUAAAACUGAUGCAGGAGGAACAAACAAAGAGCCUGGACGAUCGUCUCCGCUAGACAUUACUGUACUAGUAGCUACAAAAUCGUAUUCAAGACUAGUUUCCACACCGGUCGCUCCUUCCAGAACCUUCACUACUGUAGACAUCGGAGGCCUUCUACUACUAUCGAUCUGCAGGCACCACAUCGCGAGUUUCAUCAUUUCAAUCACUUCUUCUUCGGGCAACUUUAUAUCUUUGUUGGAACAAUCGACUAUAUCCAACAACCGACCGGCUUUAACUUUCUCUUGCAACAAGCUAAUUAGAUGAAUACUCUCUUCAGGCUGAGAAUAAUCCAAGUUCUUUCUCCCACACAAAAUCUCCAUUACGACGAUACCAAAGCUAUAGAUGUCGACCUUUUCUGUGAUCUUCGAAGUCAACCACUCCGGCGCUAGGUACCCCGGCGUGCCUCUCAUUCGAGUCAUUACCUGGCUUUGAUCUCUGUCGAUUAGCUUCGAUAAUCCAAAAUCGGAUACUUUAGCAUUGAGAUUUUGGUCCAAGAGGAUAUUUUGCGGCUUGAUGUCUAAGUGGGCAAUCUUUUGCCUGCACUCUUCGUGAAGAUACGAAAGACCCCUUGCUAUGUCUAAGAUGAUUUUGCGCCGAGUAUGCCAAUCAAGAAGGGAGAUUCGAUCCGCAUUGAAGAUCCAUUUAUCAAGCGAGCCGUUGCACAUGAAUUCGUAAACAAGAAGCCUAUGCGUUUUCUCAGCACAAAAUCCAACCAUCUUUGCUAGGUUAAUGUGGUGAAUGCUACCAAUAGUCUCAACCUCGGCUAAAAAUUCUUUCCUCCCUUGGCCUAUCCCAUCCAAACGCUUCACGGCGAUCUUUUCGUCGCCAAUUUUCCCCUCGAAAACCGACCCAAAUCCUCCCUCUCCGAGCUUCCUAGAGAAGUUCUCGGUAGCCUCUUUCAAUUCCUUGUAUGAAAACCGCCUUGGCAUUCCCGGGACUCGAUCCAAAAGUUCCUCCUCCUCCUCUUCCUCUUUGCUGCAUCUCCUUAGCCCAAGCACAAUUGCAAUGAUAAUUAACACUAUGAAAACUCCAGGUAGCACGAUACCCAGCACAAUUCCUGUUUUAGACUGCUUCUUAGUAAAAUCCGGGCUUUUCGAAGGGGCAGAAGCAGGGGGUGAGAGGACUCUCUGCACCUUAACGUAUGCAGAAGAACUGUAAUGACUUAUCGCCGGUUGAUUCGUCUGCAUCGAGAAGAUCUCCGACGGCAAGUAGCAGCUACCAUGAGUAGUAUUUCCCCCACCGAACUGAAAAAACGCGGCUUUGCACGAACAAUUCUUCAAACAAGCCGUCCUGCAACUCUCUUCGCUGACCAUACUCUGAAACGCGGCCGCAUCGGGGUCGACAUAAUUGAAGUAAGAGACGUUAGUGAGAGGCAACAAUUCAUGAUCAUAUGAAAAUUCACAAGAUAAAGGAGUCAACGGCUCGCAACCGAGAUUAGCUUCCCGGUCGUUGACUUGCUGGAAAUAGUCAGUCGAAGGGCAGCUGCAUUGUCCGCCGCCCGUGCAAAUGCCGUAAUCGCCGCACACCGUCGGAUAAGCGCAGUUGUCGGGGUACACAUCGAGCACGUCCUGCACCACCCUCCACCCGGCGAUGCUGUAGUCGUAGAGCCUCAGGUGCCCGUCGGACUCGAACCUCAUGUACUGAGCCAACUUCGCCGGGGGUAGCGAGAUCGACGCACUGGGCUCGCCUGGUUGUGUGAAGGGAACGAAGACGGACAGGCUACCGUUGGUGAAGGUGACGGACGCCGACUUGUUCACGGCUUUCGCUCCGGUGAUGCCGUACUCGUAGUAGAGCUGCGGGGGAUCGGAGUCGACGUAGGCGCGGAAACCGUCGCGGAAGACGGCGAGGUAGAGUCUACUCUGGGUGAAAUUUACGGCGGAGACGUUGGCGGUGAGGCGCAUCCCUUCGGCAAGCGACUGGCCGAUGACGAGCGUGUCGGUGGGGUGGUCGAAGGACUGCCAGACAGGCGCGUUGGCGCGAUCGAAGAGCAGCAAGUUUCCGGCCUCUGUGAGGUUGAGACCUGCCACGCGUUUGUUCGACGUGUUCGUGGACCACACGAGGGAGUCGUCGACGUCGCGGAGAAUCAAGUCGCCGGCUUGGGUGAGCUGGAGCGUGGCGUUCUCGCGGACGGGGCGGGCGCGGUUGGCGGACCAGACGACCUGUCGGUGCGAUGGAACGGGGACGUAGCCAUAGCCGUGGGCGGCGCUGUAGCCGAUGAAUACGGAGAAGAGGAAGGCGUCGCAAGCGGCGACGCAGAAGAAGCCGCAGGCGAAGGAGGGGCCGAAUCCGGCGGGGUUGAGGCGGAGAAGGAUGGCGCGGACGGAGGAGCCGUCGGCGAAGGUGACGUUGUGGUGGAGGACGGAGGGGUUGUUGGUCCACACGGUAGAGAGGUUGGCGGUCGGAUAGUCGUAGGGAUUGGCGUGCGCGCGGAGAAAGCUGAGGAGAAAGCAAGAGGCGAUCGCGAGGAGGGAGAGGCAGCGGCGCCGGAGAAGCCACAUGGUGGUGGUGGUGGUGGUGGUGGAUUAGUGGGUGGGGUGGAAAAUUCAAGAUCCAUGAGCCGAUCUAUACAUUGCUUUAUUAGAAUAUUCACACUAGCUAGAAUGGUCAUUGCCUGCUCUCGGUGCAUUCACGCGCACAUAUCUGGUAUCAAUCUUCUGCUCUACACCAGCUACUUGUUUCAUCGUAUACUUUAGAAAAAAAAUUCAAUGAUUUUACACUUACUAACUUUAUUAUCUUGUGGUUUAAAAGUGUAUCAAUUUAGUACUCUGUGAUUUCAAUUUUAUUUUUUAUCAUCGAUUCUACUAAUUUUUUUUAUUAAAUCAGUGGCAGAGUUAAAACUAAAUGAUACUGAAGUAAAUAUUCGAUAAAUUUAGGUAGGUAUCUGAAGUUUUUUUGUAUAUAAUUUAAUAAAAUAUUAAUGAAAAAAUGAUGAAAAGAUAAAAAUAAAACUACAAAUACUAAUUUGAUAUACUUUAAAUUAUAGAAUAUUAAAAUAAGAAAAGCGUGACAUGAGUGAUAUUUGAAAAUUACCCUAUAUUUUAAUUUCAUCUAAAAUAUAAAGUAAGAUAAAUAAAAAAUAUGAAAUAAAUAAUGGACCCGAUGUAGGCAUAUAUGUCGUCGGUGGUGUGCUGGAUGCAACCGACAAAUGGGUGGAAGCCGCCGAUUUGGAAAGUUGACGCAUCACGUAGCUUUUUAUUUACACCGGGUCUGCCGCGUCAACUGCGAGCCCAAUGAUUGAAAAAAAGUCGAAAAUGCACCAGUAAUAUUAAAAACGCGAAAUGCCCAACCAAUAAGGUUGCUCUCCUUGAGUUCGCCCUUCACAUUAUGAUUAAUAAAAAAAUAUAUUUUAUAUAUUUUUUAAAAAAAUAUAGAAUUAACUUAUUAUUGAUAACACGAAACAAGUGUAUACAGUAAACUUCCUCUCCAACGGUUUGAACAUGUGCCCGUAACAGCCUGUUAAAGCUGAAAGGUGCAUCCUGUAGACCGGGUCUAGCAACAGUUUGCUUCUGCAAUUGGCAAAAAGUAAUGACUGGUUGGUCGAUAAACCGCGUUGUUCUAGAUCUGGAUUCGGGAUUAGGUGUUUGACUAUGGGUCUUUUUAUUAUUAUUUUCUCGCCAAUAUAAAAAGAAAUUAGUUCGGAACUAGAGAUAUACUAAGUCGAUAAUUAAAAAAUUUAUGAAAUUACAAUUUUUAAUCAAAGGAUCAUAAUCCUAUCCUCCAGAUUGGUUUUUUUUUUUUUUGUGAAUUUUAGUAAUAACAAAAUAAAUCGUAAGAUUAGUAAAAACAUACAUAUAUAUAUAUAUAUAUAUAUAUAUAUAGGUCGUUAAAUAAGAGAGUUAAUAGGAUUAGAACAAACAGUGAUUAUAAAACUAGCAUUGCUCUUGUAACUGUUUCAUUCCUUUUCUUUUACUUAUCAUUGUGUUUUUAGGAUUGUGGUUGUUAGAGAGUCUUAGUAAAUUAUACUUUUGGUUCUCAGGUUAAAAGAUCAGAUGUAAAAUAAAGUUUUUAAAAAUUGAAUAGUCGAUUCAAAAUAAUCUAUAGUUUAUAUAAGUUAUGCAUUUUUUAUCUAAAUUGUUGUGCUGUUAUUGUUUG